CUAGUAGACCUCUUUCACCUGUCAACUAAAUGCUUAUGGUAUUCUGCAGGACGGAUUUUGAAGCUGGAGUACGAGACUUUAGAGACCGUUUGGCCAAUUAUGAGAGGGUCGCUAUACAAACUUGCACCUUCUAAACCUGUCUUAGUUACUUAGAUAAAUCAUAGUUGACUCAGUUUUGACGAACCAUAGUCUUGCUGGAUUCAAAUUGUUGAGUUUAAUCUUUUCUUACCAGGUUUAUGAGCCUGUUGAAGAAGGUUCUUACAUCAAAAUGAUUGAUAUGGUCAGCGGUAAUGGUGGGCAGAUACAAGUAUGUUUCUUAUAUGUGCUUGAUGAAGAAUUGUAUCACUGAUGGCAUUUCAUACUGAUCUCGAGAGGAUACUCUAUAGUUUUGACUCUUCCUGACUAUUAAUCUAAUUUUAUUGCAGGUGAACAAUAUUAGUGGUUACCUUCCUGGAAGAAUUGUGUUUUUCUUGGUAUGAAUUGGCCAUGUCUCUUUCUUAUUUUAUAUAUAUAAAUGUCUUUAGUCUUUUUGUCACACGCAAAAUCAGCGUACCAGUUAUAUACUUGCAAGGGUCCCAUCGUCAACAGUCGACAUUCAUUGGCUAUUCAAUAAGAAUAAGUUAAGUGAUCACGAGAUCAUUGUUUUCUGAAGAAGCUGAUUUUUCUAACCUUUAAUUAGGUGAAUACGCAUCUCACUCCACGACCAAUACUACUUACUCGGCAUGGAGAAAGUAUGGAUAAUGUUAGAGGCCGAACUGGAGGAGACAGUGUAAUAAGGUAUGUCUUUGCUCAAUUAUCUCCAAAUGCUAAAAUUUGAAUUUCUUACUGCCAAUUGCUUCUCUGAGCCGAUGCCGUUGGGUUCUAUUUUCCUUUGGCUUUUCCAUUUCAUCUUUUUCCAUACGAAUCCAUCCUAACAGUUUGGCUUGACAAGUCUUGCUGCUUCCUCGUUGGAUCAAUUAUUCAAAUUAUUUUUGAGAUUGCCUCCAAUGUUAUAUGCUAACCUUAGCGGGGUAAUUGUAUUUCUUGUUUAAAUGUGAAAUUGUAUUCUCGUAACCUUUCUCAACUUUGAAACGCAGUGAAUCUGGAAAAAUUUAUGCAAAGAAACUUGCCAACUUUGUCGAAAAGCGACUAAAAAAUGAAAAGGCCGCUUCGGUAAGUAUUGCAGACUAUUACAAUAUGUUUGAAUUUUGAAGUAUUGGCAAUUUUGAUGGCAUACACCACUACAGUUCUGGCACCAAUAUCUAUGGAUGUCCACCUUCAGUUCCCCUAAAUUAUAUUUUCCUUCGUUACCUCAAUUUUUCGUCCAACUUCCAUUCCAAAUUGACACAAAUCUCUAUCAUAUGCUCCGAUGAUUUCCAUAGGAAAAGGUUUCUCUGGAACAAGGAGUCCAGGAUUUCUUGGUUAAGAAUUUAUAGGAUGAAUCAGUCUAUUAAUUUCUAAGAUCCAGGAAGAGGUAUUAAGAAUAAAUGCUGGCCAUUUAGACAUAGACUACGAAUUUUGUUUUAGUAUAACCUAGGCACUGAACUUAUCCUUCAAACCUUUUUUGCCACAAGAUCACAAAGGAUCAAGCAGUGCCAUCCUUGGUUGAUUUGGAAUCAAAUAUUUUUUACCAUACGCGAAUAUUGAUUGACGUUGUGUAUUUCAGAUUUGGACCAGUACACUUCAAAGAACAAUUUUGACAGCAAGUUCCAUAGUCGGGUUUCCUAAGGUUGGUGUUUACCAACUACCAGAAUCUCUUCUGACUCUUGAUAUCUUGUAAUAACAUCUUGCUACGAGGAAAUCAUUUCUUCCUUUUAGGUGCAAUGGCGUGCCUUGGACGAGAUCAAUUCUGGUGUUUGCGAUGGAAUGACAUAUGAAGAGAUAAAGAAGAACAUGCCAGAAGAGUACGAGUAAGUGACUUGGUAGAAUCUGUAUAUGUAAAAAAAAACGUUAGCAGUUCUGAUUUCCAAGAGGUGUGAAAGAAUCUGAGAAAGGGCCAAAAAUAUAUUCUUUGACGAAAACUGGAUAAAGGUGCUAUACUUCCAAUUAGACAAAACUAGAUUGGUUUUUCCAGUUUUGCUCAUCAUAAAGCCAAAAAAAUAGAUUGCAAAUUGUUGAAUAUUUUACUGUAUAGCUAAGCUCUGCUGUUCAAGUUUAUCAAUCCUGAAACGGGCAAUAAGCUCUUAGACUUCUUUAACUAAUCUUGUGGUACAUAUGACUACAGAUCUCGGAAAAAGGACAAAUUGCGAUACCGAUACCCUCGUGGAGAGUCCUACCUUGAUGUAAUUCAACGGUAUGUUCGUCUCUUCUUCUUCUUCAUCUUCUAAGUUCAGUCAUAAACUAAACUUCAUGCAAACAUUGCUUCCUCGACAAUGUAGGCUUGAACCUGUGAUCAUUGAGUUAGAACGACAAAGAGCUCCUGUCGUCGUGAUAUCUCACCAGGUUAUACUCCAAACUAUCGGUUUAUAUUAUAAUGUUACAGUUUGAAGAAAAUCGUCCACGUGAUAAAAUUUACAUGGAGGCUUAGCGUAAUACUAUGGAAGAAAACACACAAUUUUUUGUUUUUGUUAAGUGCUCUGACUUGUCAAUGAGUUCCUCUUAAGGUUGGUUGGUUUUUACGCAGGCUGUUCUGAGAGCCUUAUAUGCAUAUUUUGCGGAUCGGCCCCUCAAAGAAAUACCCCAGAUCGAGGUAAUCUGAAUUAGAAAAUAUGAAAUUGUAUGAUAAAACCAUUGAAUGAUAUAGUAUAAGCUUUACAGAUAAUAAUAACAGCAUUGCCGUUUAAAAAUGUUUCAACAGAUGCCACUUCACACUAUCAUAGAGAUACAGAUGGGAGUUUCUGGUGUGCAAGAGAAGCGCUACAAACUCAUGGACUGAAAACAACAACAACAAUACGUCGAAUUUCAGCAACUCUCUUCCCAACGGUUUAUAAAAUUUUAAUUUACUCUGCGUGACUGGGUUGCAUUUUGGCCGGCCAGUUCUUAUUUUAUCCAUCAAAUAAUUUUCUUUAUACCCCCAAAUGUCUUGUAAGUUCAACAUGUUUUAUACUCUUUAUAAUAAUUAACUUUUAUACAUAGAUCCGACUGAUUGGGUUCGGUUCAAGAGUCACUUGAACAUAAGUGGACAAAGUUUACAAUGUUAAUGAGAAAUAAAUAAAAAAAGAACGUCGGGUGUUUUUUUUUCUAUGACAUCUUCGUACUGGAUAGGGACCAAAAGGAGGCUCGACCAAAAGUCAACGUUUUACAAAAGCUGACUAAAUUGCUUCCGGCGGGGCUCGAACCCGCGACCUUCGGCUCAUAAGACCAACGCUCUAACCAACUGAGCUACGGAAGCGUUUGCAUUACAGAUGUGCCAUAACAUUAUUUAUACCUACAUUUAGAGAUAUUUUGAACAUUUGUAACUUCAGAAGACAAAAACAGACUUCAUGGUCUAUAUAAUUCUAACGAUGUGUGAAUUAUAGAGUAAUUUUGAGAGCUUUCAGUUUUUCUUUCUAAGAGAAAGAGAUGUCAAAUAAAAAAAGGAAAGAGAUGACAUGAUAAUUAGUAUGAAUCUAACCUUAGAAAAUCAGCGCAAUAAUACUUUUCUAAAACUCUUUCUCUGUCUUCACGAUUCUUCUUUAGUUCCAUUCAAUACAUAAGACAUCAAAAUAAUCUUGCAUUUCUGUUGAAAAUUCAUCUUUAGUAUAAAAAGUAUAUAGCCAUGUGUAUGGUCUUUUGUUGACUUUAAAGCUUUUCCUCAAGAAUUACAUAUUAAUAAUAUUUAUUUUUUUUGGGAUGAUGUGAAACAACAGUGGGAGAAUUUGAACCCUCACAUCAAGUCACUUUUUAGAUAAAUCAUCAAACAUUACCUACCUAUUAGAGUGUUUGUAAAAAAGACCUAACAAAAAACAAAAUUUUUAAAAAGAGUCAAAUUUUAGAACGGACAGUUGUGAUAGGUAUUGUAAAGAGAAUCGAUGGUUUGAUAUGAUCACCAUCCACCAAGCAACAAAUCAAAUUUGAAUAGUCGUUAUAAAGAUAUUGAUGUGUGUGGGUAGUGGGUCGUAAGCACCAACCAAUAAUUUGAAUUUAUCAUUUUAUUGUUCAUAAACACAUUGUGGGGGCUACAACAUUGACUUCUAUGCCCUCCUAAUUAGUAAUUAUCAUAGUGCUAGACAGAAUAGGCAUCGGAUCCUGAUCGUGUUGCUCAUUUCAUUGUUCUCUACAUAUUAUGGUUUAAUUUGAAUUCGUUGCAGUAAAAAAAUCUGUGCAGUUCCUACGAAACAAACAAAUGAAACAAAACAAAAGACAGUCGUUCGAAUUAUAGUAUACUAGCGAGUAAAAUUUCAACUUCUUUUUUUAACAAAUUCAUGACUUAAUAUUAUCUCAUUUCGUUGUCUAGGUCAAAAUCAUGUAUAGACUUUUAUAAGAUAUGCAUAUAAACCGUUCUUGUCGUAUGUUUGAGAAUUAUCUUUGUUUUUCCAUGAAGAAAAAUUAAUUAAAUAUUCUAACUUGUAGAAGUCGUGGCCUGAUGCACCGGUUGGUUGCUCGAACCGUAAGGUUAGAGAUGGCUCGUUGAAAAUAGAAAUAAUAAUUUAGUGUUUAUGUUUUUGAGAUCUCCGGAUCGGAUCGUCAUAGAGUUGUCAGUUGUCUACAUAUGUGGUGGAUAAACGAUAACUAAUACAAGAUGCUGAGGAUAAUAAUCUAAAUCAUUAGUAUUUUCAUUGUAUCUCGACUUGUUCUUCUCGCAUGUGCGUAAAAUGAAAUUUUGUUCGUCUCCAGACUCCCCAACUAUUGAGUAAAAGCAAAUACAGAGGAUAUUUCUUUUUCUAUUUCCAGCAUAAUUUGGUUAAAAGAAAGCUCUCACCUUUAUCAUUUGACUACUGACCCGCGAAGACCCUAAACAAAAAGCUUUUCAGCCAAAAUUUUACUUUAAAUAGGACACGAGUCAUUGUGGCAUGAUCUUGAUAAUUAACGUGGUGUUUUUGGAAAUUUGGACAAAAGAAAACAAAUGCAUAUAAAUGUAUGCCGAGAUGUCCUGUCAAUGGGCAUACCAUGAUAUUGUGUAUUUGUUCAAAAGGACAGUACCUAACUCUUAUCGAGUUAUUGGACAGAACAAACCAACAAUAAUACAUUGAGAAAAUGGGUAGCAUUAAUUAAUUAUGCGCGUAUAUAAAACUCAUUGAUGUCAUAAAAGAACAAAGAAUCACUUAGUUUGAGAAAUCAUGAAAAAAUACGUCUCCAUGCUAGUUUGACCUACUGAAACCUUUUGUUUUAGUUCACGGGUUAUGAUAAAACAACGUAACUUAUUACAAAAAUUUAAUAGUAGUUUUUUCGUAAUGAUCACUGAAGAUUCAAACAGUAUGGCCAGGAAAAAAAAACUAAAACCUAUGGCUCGAUCCUUCCCGUCCCGAAAAGCCCAAAUCUUUUGGCACCUGUAAAAUACCGUUACAAUGUAAUUGAGAUGUCAUGCAAUGCGACUUCUAUAAAUUUCACUAAAAAAAAAAAUCCAAAAUGCAAGAAAACUUAUAAACUUUCAAGCACACGCACGCAAAUGUAGUGCAGGGUGGGUCCAAACAGUUUUUAUUUUUUCCAUAUUUGGAUGGUGGAGGUGUACUCGACUCUGAAUUUUCAAACUUUUAUGUUUGUCAGAUUCCAAAUAAAUAACCAGUCAUUUCAUUGAUUUUUCUCAACACGGUGGUCCAUUUGUUUAAUAUGUAUAUGCCUUUUUGAACGAGUGAACUCGGAAUUGCCAGGGAAAAAAAAAACAUUUAACGUCGUUGAUUCGUUAAUUAAUAAAUUUUAGAUCACAAAUCAGAUCAUAAAUGAAUUGCUUUUGUUGACCAUCGACUCUCCUAGUCCUAAGAUUAUGUUCGAAAUCGGGAUUUGAUUUAGUAACUAAAUUGUUCGAGUGUGUGCAAAUGUACAUCAACUAAGAUUACUUUUGUUCCUUUUCAUAAGUGAUUUAUUGGCUAUAUGCCUAUAUCUCACAACGAAUUAAAAUCUUCUGUAAAUAAUUAUUUUGCCGAAUAUACUCAUUAUAGGUAAAACACAAGAACAACAAACAAUUAAAUAGAUAUAAAGUAAAUUUAAAUUACAACAAAUUAAUUUUCAGAUCUAUCUUUCAUACUUGCUAUUUCCUGACUGGUUUAGAAUUCCGAAAAAUAUUAUAGAAAUAAAUUUCCCCUAAUAAUAAUGGUAGAAAUAUAAUUAAAAAGGUGAAAUAAUUUAAUCAUAGGUCCACACUUGACCUAAAUAGAAUAGUAAAAAGUGUCAAGUGGCCUGUGAGUAGGGCCAUGACCACGUGAUUUAGUUUCUUACAUUUCCAUUUUCCACUCUUCUUUCUUCAUUCUCUACUUCUUUCACAAUUCACAUCAUCAACCCAAAACCCUCUGUUUUUCCUCUCUUUUUAUUGUCUUGAAAUUUCAAUAAAUAAAAGCCCAAAACCUAACAAAAACUUCACACUCUUUCUCUCAUUUUCUCUCUCUCUCUUUUAAAACACUAAAGACUAAAAUCCUCGAUCCACUAUAUUCUCAAAACCAACGCUAAAUUAAAACUCUCUCAAAGAAAGAAAGAAAAAACCCUAAUUUUGAUGGAAUCGGCGGAUUCCGGGUCACAACGACCCGACCCUGCUAACGGAAGCGACCCGGGCCCGUCCUUGGUCACACCCUCUUCACCUCCGGCCACGCCUAGCCGGUACGAGUCACAGAAACGACGUGACUGGAACACGUUCUUGCAGUACCUCAAGAACCACAAGCCGCCUCUCGCGCUGUCACGGUGUAGCGGAGCGCACGUGAUCGAGUUCCUCAAGUACCUCGACCAGUUCGGUAAGACAAAAGUCCACGUGGCAGUUUGUCCUUACUUUGGCCAUCAGCAACCUCCAUCUCCUUGCGCUUGCCCUCUCAAGCAAGCCUGGGGAUCUCUCGAUGCUUUGAUCGGACGGUUGAGAGCAGCCUACGAGGAGAACGGUGGACGACCCGAUUCAAACCCGUUCGCCGCACGUGCGGUCAGGAUUUACUUGAGGGAAGUCAGAGAAAGUCAAGCCAAGGCCCGUGGGAUUCCCUACGAGAAAAAGAAACGGAAACGGCCACCAACAGUUUCCACCGUUAGAGUUGACGUUGCUCCGUCGAGACAGAUUGACGGAGACGGUUGUAACCUCGGUGCUCCGUCUGUCUCUGAGGCUGUACCGCCUUAGACUAAAUUACUAUAUAUUAUCAUAAUUUUCUUGAUUUAUUAAAUACAUCAUCUAUAUAUAUAUAUAUAUAUGUAUGGAACUCACUUCACCUUCCUUGUUCCCUAGUAACUAAUUAUUAAUUUUUGUGAGUUAAUCGUGAAAAUAUAUACCGACGGAUUGUUUUAGUUCAGUGGAUCUCUGAUGCAUUAAGUUCCUGAACUUUGAAUUUUUAUAAAAUUCGCACACACUUUCAAGGACGAUCGAAUGCGGUUUUCUUCACAUAAUGUAUUUUCUUUUCUGUAUGAAUUAUUCAGAUUUUUAUUUUCUUAACCGAAUUAUUCAGAUCUUGCUUUUGUGAUCAAACGCUAUCAUCUAAACAAUCAUGAAAUUUAAAUUAACGUGUGCUGAAGAGUUCAGAGAUAAGCGAGAGGAAGGAUGCAGAGUUGGAUGGAGAUUGUUUUCAGAUUGCGUAUGUAUAUAUAUAUAUAUAUAUAUAUAUAUGUUAACGCGUGUGUGUACGAGGAUUUACGUAUACAAUCAUACAUCGAUGGCUAUUCGAUUCAUGUCGUAUACGAUCGGUAUAUGCAUGUACACCACUUAAGUGUUUUUUUUUUUAUAUAAAAAGUAGCUAAACACUUUUCCUUUCAAAAAUCUUGUUAAUAAUUGCCAGAUAACCUUUUUUUGAUAAUUGACAUAUUGGUUAACAUUUUUUAUGUUGUAUAUGGUCUCAUUAAUGGGAGAUGAAUGUAUGUGUUUUGAUAUACGUACACACGCACGUGUACGUAUAUAACCUUGAAAAGAUGGUAAAAGUCACAUGAACAGAACAAGAUCGUGACUCGUAAGAGCAUUGUAUGUCAAGAGUUCCGACCAACAUGAGGCCUCGUGUUUACUGUGUCCUAUUACGUGUUUUCCACACGUGUAUUCUUCAACCAUGUCUAAGUACAAUAGUGAAGCAAUCGAAGAAGUAUUUUUCUUUUUCUUUUUCUAUCGUCAGUAAUGAACGUAGUUUUUGGUUGACCACAAGAUCAUUUAGUUUCUGUGAUCUUUUUAAAAUAUAUAAAAGUCUGUAACUGUAGCGUUUACAGGAAGGGUCUAUAUAUUUGAGAAUUGUGACAUUUCCCCCCUAUGUUAAAGAUAGCUUAGAAUUCGUGGUCCUUGAAAAUCAUUAUCUAUAUUUGUUUUUUCCCUAAUCACCACAUGGGCUUUGAUAUAGACGAGCCAGCAACCAAGCCAUAUUAUCUUAUUCUAUUAUUAUUUAUGAUUAUAUCCGCAAGAUUGUAAACAAUUAGCUAUUAUUACAUUUAUGAUUAUCUAUGUUGAGGAAAAUUAUCUUGACAUGAUAAGUAAGGCCAUGCCUGAUUGCAUCUAGACUCCAGUUAAGCGAGUUAAAAAUAUGAGAUCUAUUUCAUACUUAAAAAAAAAAAACUAAAAGAAGAAACCAUCCGUUUGAUGAUCACUACUCAAAACUAGUAUAUUGGAUAUUCAUGGACGAACAAGUUGUUUAUAUAUGUUUGUCUGUUUGAUAUCUAUCAAUAGAUUUGCUGUAUGAUGCUUUGUUAAAAAAAAUCUACAGACAAUUUUUUUUUUAAUUGAUAACGGAACUUUACAAGAAGUUGAUAAUAUACUGAAUAUGAUUUUUUUCUGGUUUUAUUUUUACCAAUAAUUUGUUUUUUACUGAUUCACCAUAUUACUACAUUUUCCCAACAUUUUAGUACAAACUUAUAUUAAAAAUCUAUAAGCACAUAACUUCGAUAUACUUUUUGUUAUGGUCAACGACGACGACGAUGUGAGUAGUGGGUCACGGUCCUCACGUUACUGUUUUCUCUUCAACCCUAAUAGACCCCUCUCCUACUAAUGCUAAGUGUAGGAAUUUUUCGAAUUAAUCCAACUCCAAAUAUACUAUUUUUGUAUUGGCUACUUUUAACGAAACCUUAUAAAUAAAGCCAAAUAUUGUUAGAGCCAAACAGCCAGGACACGAAAUUUGGCUCCAAUUAAGUCUAAAACAUAACUUAACCGAAUAAAAUCCAACUUAACCGGAUUUUAACCAAAAUAAAUGUAUAAAUAGUCAAUCACCUCCGAGUAUGCAUGCAAUCAUAGUAUCGCAUGUUGUAUGCUUACGAUAUGAGACCAUAGGCCCAGUCCGAUCCAGAAACAUUAGGUCGUAGUACUCCCAUACGAUUGCCAGGCAACAGAAAUAAGUUUACAAAGCGAGUUUAGUUAACCACCACUUCGAACCGAGUCAGAUGGUAACCCGAGGAAUCCAACAUAACCCUUUUUCACAACUAGUCACAACGAACAACACAAAUUUAUAAGACUAAUAUGAGUUUUAAACAGGUCGCUCACACAACCCCAACAAACAUACAUUCUGAUAUUUAUAUUUAUUAAUAUUCAUCAAACCUCAGAAUCUAGAUAGCUUUUUUAGGGUGUCAUGUACUCAUGUAACAUAUGAUAGAAGAAAGAGGAAGUGUUUAUAGCAGGCCAGUAAUGUCGAUGUACGACAAUAAAGAGGUUUUGACACGUUCCAACACAUCCCACAUCGAAUUGACGCCAAUCCAGCAAACCAGAGGGAAGCGAUUCACUUUGACACUGCGAAUGAAGUUGCGGGAUGAAUAUUUGGCACACGCGCCAGGCACUUUAUUACCUUUGUAAGCCUUGCAGAUGUAGCUUAUGACGUUUUCAUAAUCCUGCAGAAUACAGACAGAAAAACAGACGUAAGUUCAAAGCCAAGAAACAUCAACCACAAACACAUACAGAGAACUUAUGUUCCCAUUGACCAAUGGAUUUUUUUAUGCAGCGCAUCUAUUCUUCAUAGAUCAUGAGAUUCUCCUGGAGACACUUCACUUCUCAUCAGCCCUUGCCAACAAGCCUAUGGGAAACUUCACUUAUCGUCUGCUAACCUACAGCUAAGACGAUAUCCUAGUUUUGAAUUAAAUAUGCCCAUCUUCCAUAUUUGGUAACUGCAACAUCUAUUUCUCAUAUAGUCUUUGAGUACAUACUGUACAAUUGAAUAGAUACUCCUAUAAAACAUGUAUUCCUCACAAGUUUGGUUCACUAGAAUUUACAUUAGAGGAUAAGGCUCUGAGAAAUUAUAUGGGGUGAAGAUGAUCAACCUCCGUAAAGACAAUAAAUAAUAAUGUGUUGCACAACUAAAAUCCAAAUCAAUCCCUCGGAAUAAACCCAAAUCAUACUGAUAAGUGAAUAUAGUUAUAUCAAUAAUACGCAGAGAGUUAAAAAGCGUGGAUUUCUCAUGGUAAGAACUCCGUACAUUUUGAAAAAGAAGCAUACUGAACGAACCUCAUAAAGUGGCUGCCCAUCCACGACUACCCACGGCACAUAUUUAUGAGGCGGCUGAAGUGCACUCGUUUCUGCAGCAUACUGCAACACAAGCUGCAGCAAGUGAACAAUAUUAGAAACGCAUUAUAUAAUCCAGAAGCUUACAAUACAAGAACAUGGUAUAUCGGAUACAGAUAUCAAAAUUGGAAUUGAGUCUACGAAAAUAAAAAAAAAAAUGAUUAGAAUGUCCUUUUAUAAUCCUUGCUCAACCAUGCAACACCAAUGCAGAAAUGGUAUCUGGAUUCAGAAAUGUAACAUUCCAAUGCUAAAAAGCAAUCAGUAACGUAAUGGAAGUAUCGAUUCUUAACAAGAAAUUGCGGCGAAACAAGCAAGAAACAAACUACACCAAGAGGUAAGGACUAACCUCGUUUCCAUGUCCACUGCUGAGACAAUCGGCAACAGGUUUUGAGUUCAGAUUGAGCUUCUCAUAACAAGUCUCCCACUUGUCGUACUUGUGUUCAAUCACCAAACUCUCAAUACAGUAGAUGAACGGGAAAUGAUCGCUCUGCAACGAACGAAAGUGACGAUCUAACUUAUCUCACAAAUAUUAUAUGCCUCCCCAAACCAAGUCAUGUGAAAGGGACAAUCAGAUCUCAUAAUCGCACUUACCAAUUUAGGCCAAGCAUCAAUUGCACAAGCUUCUACGGUAUCCAGGAAGCACUCAAAUGCCCCGUGCUGCAACAAUUAGCGACAAAGAUUUAUGUAAUCGCUACAAUUAUGCAUGAUGAUGAGUUUUGCUCCGACCAAUUUGUCAAACUCAGAUGCAAACAACGGAUCAAAUUUCAGCUCAAGGAAAAGCCGAAUCUCUAUCGAUUUCUUCCGCACCUUAAAAUUAAAGCUUAAUUAAAUCGAAACGGAAACAUCGAUUUCGUAAAUUGAAGAAAACAAGCCGUAGAAAGAAGCAAGGAAGACCCGAUGAUGACCUGGCAAACGACAGUGACGUUAUCGGGUCGGAGCUUGGUGUUGCCCCACGGAGACAGAUGGAGAUCGACGAUGGAUAUGAGGUCGUCUUCGAAGAGCUUCGCGAGGUGGUUAACUAUGAAGGAAGAGCAGUAAGGACAUAGAGACUCGUAGUAGAGGCCCAGCGAGACUUUCGGCGAAUCGGGGGAAGAAGAUGUAAGCGAUAUUCCAGAAAAAUCAGAUGCAGAUGCAAAUCCGAGAAGAAAAACGUAGCAGACUAGGAGAUGAAGUUUCGACGCCAUGAAUGCAAAUGCAACACCGCCUUUUGUUCUUCGAAAAGACCAUUCACUAAUUCAUAUCUCGAAGCUCACAUAGAAAGAGACGAUAGAACUUUCCUAGUCGGUUACGUGUUAUUACGUGUUAUAACGUCAUGCUUACAUUGGUAUUGUACCGAUGAACAGAUACACGUGUCUCAGUGGAUCUCGUCUAAUAAUUUGCGAGAAAAUUUCCAAAUUUAUAUUGUAAAAUCAUUUGCUUAGUAUAAAGAGCGUUGGGCAGUCUGCUUUGUUACUUAUGAAUUACGAUGAACACAAAGUAAACGCAGGCUUUGCAAAUUUGGGCAGAAUAGUUAACACACGAGAUCAGUUUCAAGAUAAUAUUAAGAGUCAAACAAAACAAGGUCCACUAACGAAGACUUGACUUGCAGAACAAAAAAAAGAAAAAAACAGUUCACAACGUUUUAGAUAUUGCUCGGAUACAUAAACACUCGAACUCGGGCUCCCUGCGAAAACGAUAACCAACCAUAUAAGAACCCAAACACACCCAGCUAGGAAAGCAAAAGAGAACAUUUUUUUUUUUUUUUUUUUUUUUUUUUUUUAGCAAAAGAGAACAUAACACAAAUAUAAUGAAAUAAUUUGGAUUACCAUUGAUUUAGGAGGCAAGUUGGAUGUGAAUUUGGCUCGAACCACGCCGCUGUUACCGUGAGGCCUUGUGACUUUGCCCCAAAUGCAACGGUAGUGACUACCAUUCUUCUUGGUCUUGGCUUUGUAGAUGUAAGCCAUUCGUUUCCCUUUGUACCAUGCCACUUCCUCUGUUGUGUUAACUCCUUCGACUUGGACUAGGGACGUAUUUGGGUACUGGUUCGACUUUGACCUAUUCAUAUUUACCCAUAAAAUGUCUUUAAGUAACACAGUUCCGACUAAAAUCUGAAACAGAAACACAAUCACUAUGCAACCUAUCACACUCUGAGUGGUACAUUGUUUGCUUACAUUUAUAACCCAAAAAAUGAUUCCCAAUUAGUAAACGUACUGUACUAACUGUUUUUGGGACGAUAACAGUAAACAAAAAUCAUGAUCAUGCCACAUUAAACACGGAUUCCUCAACUGUUGUCAGGAACUAAACGAUUUGAAUACUGUAAGCAACAAAUCUAAGGUCAUAAAGUGUAUUAACCAGACCAAUAUGUAAAACAAGCAAAGUUAAGAAAGAACAAAUCAUGUACUGGCGUACCUUUUGUAUCCAAGUAUGGUUCCUCUGACAUAGAGUCUGCAUCACAUAAACCAAAAUCGAAUGAAGAAAAAUAUAAUUAAGACCUUACAUGUAAAAAAAGAGGUAAGAAGAAGGGUCAUAGAAGAAAUUUAGUGCGAGAUCCACAAAAGGGAAAAGCAAAUGAUGCAGCAAAUUUUGGUAGCUAAAAAGUUGAAGUAGAGAGACUGAAUUAAAGUAAACAGAGGAAACAAUGAGCAACAGGAAUAACCUGACACGUUCUCCUUGGCGUCCUUUCACCAUUUUGUCGAAUCGUCCGGUGGAAGAAAUUGGCACUUGCCUUCAGAAAACGGAGGCAAAGGAAAAAAAACCAUAAAGCCUUAAAGAUGUGAUAUCUUCUAGGUUAUAUCAAGGAGACGGCACCGUUUUUAAGAUAUUAAUGGGCCUUAAAUUGAAAGAAAAGGCCUAGCGUCAAUCUAAAUUAGCUAACGGCCCUUAACAAUCGUUUCCAAAAGCUUUUUUUUUAAGAUGCGCCAUAUAAUUCAAAUCAAAAUUUCGAAAUACCCAAAAAGAAGAUUUGACCCGCUAAUUUCUCUGUGGCAAAAAUGUCGGACUCGAUGAUCGCUGAUCAGACUUAUCUCUUUCUCAAUCGGAUACAAGAGAGAAGGUCCUUCGUUUCCUUCGAAUCACCGUAAAUCUUAAUUUCUCCUUCGUGUUGACUUAAACCGAUAAUAUAUUCUCAUUGAUUUUGCAGGUUCGAUGAAGAGUCUCUUCGGAUUCUCGAGCUGUCCCUGGUUGCAAUGAAUGUGAAAUCGUUUUCCGAAGUUAGAUCCCGAUUGGCAGAUUUCAUGAGAUCUGAAUCGGCUGCCAUAUUCGGUGAGCUCACUGGAGAAUCCAUCGUUGCAAAGCUCUCCGUACUUGAAUUCUUCGCUCGUGCUUUUGCUCUUAUCGGUGACAUUGAGGUUCGUAUCCUGUUCUUGUCGAAUCGAAGAAACUCUGAAACUACUGAGCUUAAUCGCUUACCAUAUUAAGAUUCUCAUGAUUAUAAGUGAAGAUUUGCCGAUGGAUUUGUGCCUUUUUCUCGGAUUUCUUACGUAUGUUUUGUUGUUAUAUGUUGAGUAGAGUUGUUUGGCUAUGAGGUAUGAGGCAUUAAAUCUACGGGAUCUCAAGUCCCCUAGCUGUUUGUGGUUAAGGGUUUCACAUUCAGAAUGGACCGAAUUUGCAGUCCAAUCUAUGGAAAAUGGAUUCCUAUCUAUUGCCGGAAAGGUAAGUACUCUUCUUUAUGAGCUCGUUGCUUUUAUUAACUGGAUGAGAAAUUCACAUAAGAUAAUGGUUAGAGAUUUUUAACAUGCCCAAUGGAAACUGAAAUUACUAUGCAAUAGUUAACAAGUUUAUAAACUUAGGAUGAAUGUUUAGAGAUACAUUGUUCUCUGCCUUUUACUAGCUUUUUGUUUCUACAUUUUCUAUUCCCACAUGGAAGCACCCAUCCGUUUUGCUCUUUUUCACUGCUUGUGCUCUGUCUUUUGGUUUUCACUUAUUCCUACUUUGUCGGUAUGACACUGUCACACUGUGCUGACGUUUACGCAGGCGUCUGAAAAUGCGUUAUUGAGCCUUAAAAGGGAUAGUCUUAUUGAAACAAAACAAGAAGAGUAUUCUACAAUUUUGGAUGCAGCUGAGAAAGUAAGGAGACUAAGGGAUUCAGCUGCCUUGUUAACAUCUUCAUAUUCAGGUAUUUUCAUUUACACAGUGUGUUCUUUAAAAUCCAUUCCGUUGACCGGAGUUAUGACUACAUUUUGGUUGCUUUCUUCGUGGAUAGGCCCUAAACCCCAGUAUUCUCGUCUCAUUUCAAAUUUUCAAUUCAUUUUGUUUGAAGAGAUAUUGGUCUGAAUCUCUCUCUGCCUAAAAGAGUUUGAUUCACAUCCUCCCUUUCAUUCAAUAUAGUGGUAUCGGUGUGAAUUCAGACAUAGAAUGUAGUUUUUGAAUUUUUUUACUGCUUUGCCUUCAUUGUUGAUGUAGGAUCACUGAGUUGUACAUUAAGAUUUUGAAAAUCUUCUAGGUGGUGAUUUAUCGGAAUGGAUAUAAACUUUAAUAAGGUGGUUGUUAGAAUGUAUCUGAGUAGUUCUCAAUUCAAAAACAGUUCAGGCACAGGGUGCAGAGUACUUGAGGAGCAAGGAACUCAGGGUACUAAGCAGACAGACUCGACCAAUUAAAAAUCCAGACUGCACAGGUAGCAAUUUGUUCAGAGAAGGUAUCAAUAAGCGUAACGAACGAAUGUUGCAACAUCUCCUGUAGUAUUCAGAUGACUCGAGAUCUAGAAUCAGAUUCGCGCUGUGUUGAUGCAAAUGGUGGUACACACUUCAAUGACCUUUUAAUGCUUCAUGACCAUUUAAAUACAGGUCAGCUUUUGAUAAAACAUUACUACUUAGAUAUUACUGAAGAUCAUAGUUUGUUCACAUAAAAACAGAAAAAGUUCAAUCUUUCUACCCUUUUGCAUCUAACAUCAUGUUUCUUUCAUGGAAAGGGUCAUCAUUAUGUAUGAGCAAAUCCAAACAAAGCCAGGCGAGCUAGUUUUUUUUCCAGUCUCGUUCCAUUAGUCAAUGUUGACUUCUUUUUUAGUACUCAAAAAACUAUUGCAAAAAAUUAAAUUUUGAAAUUAUUGACCUAAUAGUUCAUUAGUUUUCAUUAACUAUUAUUUGCUUCUUGGUGAUAUUAAUAUAUUCUCAUGUCAUAUACAUGCUAUACCUUCCGAAGAUAUUUUAAAUACUUAUGUACUAUUCAAGUGCGUGUAUUGUAUAAAAUAGACUCGAAAUGGAAAUAACAUUAUAUUAUAGCUCUGUUUUAGGAUAAAGAGGGAAAAAGGGCUGAAAUGAAAUGGUCUUUAGUGAGCUCCAAACGAGCAGUAAGAGAGGUCCCACGACUGGGAUUCCAAGCUAGACUCUCAAAGCCAAUCAGCUUGAGAUCCCGUCACUUUUGGGAUAAGAUGCCACGUCGUGUCAAUUACAUCACAUAUAAAAGUAUUAAAUUUUAAAGAAAUACCUAGCUCUGUAAAUAAAAUCUAUAUAUAUCUUAAGUUUUUAGUAUGAAUGAUGUCGGAUAUAUAGACAAAGAAAAUAUAUUAGAGUGGAGGGAAAAAAACACAGAGGAAAAGAUAAGACAUAUAUGGAUACGCAAAGGUUACCGAAGAAAGAAGAACAAGAAGAAGAAGCUGGUCAUCAACCUUCUUCAACUUUUGAGUCUAUUAAUGCUUUCUCUCAAGACCAACACAACCACUCUGUGGAUGAUUUCGACCGCAUUUUCGACAUCACCAUUGACAGUUCAAAGUGUUCUCAUGAACUCACCUGGGAUUUCUGGGAAGAAGAAUACAACGACGAAGAUGUAGAGGAAGAAGAAAAAAGACUGAGUACUGAUCAAGAAGGCUCAAGUUCUGGGUUUUGGCACAAUAUGUCGAUGGAUUCUGAAGACAAAGAGUUGGGUCUGAAGCUGAAUCUAAACCAUCAAGAAGUUAUUGAUGCGUGGUCCGAUCGUCGCCAGGAACUUCUAUGGACAGAUACUUCAAUGCUAAUGGCUCCGGCGAAUGCCCUUUAUGUUAGUUACUGUCUCUUACUUGCUGUACAAGUUAUAUGAUUAAGGAUUUAAUCUUGAUUAGUUAGUAUUAAUGGUUUAGAGUGUAUCCAGAGGGGAGAAGUGCCGGUAAUGGAUGAAGAGAGAAACACGAGAAGAGAGGCGAGUGUGUUAAGGUACAAAGAAAAGAGACAGAGUAGGCUCUUCUCUAAGAAGAUAAGGUAUCAAGUGCGAAAACUCAACGCUGAUAAACGACCUCGUUUUAAGGUGACUCUCUCUUAUUGCUUCUUCACUCUACAUUUUUGCCUCAAGUCAAUGUUAGCUAGUUAUUUAUUUUCGAAAUACUGAUUUAUUUUUACUGAAAACCCUAAACUAUUAUUGUUAUGAAUUUUCUUGUGAUAGAUUUCUUUUGAAUUAUUUGUAGGGUCGGUUCGUGAAAAGGGAGACGUAAAAGGGGGAAAAUAUCUGGAAGAAAAAUAUCUCCAGCCUUCGUAGUUUCUAUUUAUUAGUAUUAUCAUUAUAAGGAUUAUUAUAUCAUACUUUUCUGUAAUUUUUUGAGGUAUCAUUAUCGACUUUACAACUUUAUCAAAUUUGAAACGAAAAUAUCUCCCUGACGAGAGAAAAAAGAGAUGCGAAAAAUCUUUUUUAAGUAAAGGAAAUGAAGAUUACAUGAAGAGGACGUAUAUGGCAAGUCGUUGUCGAAUUGGUGGGGCUCAAGUCUAAAAAAGGCUUCACCACAUGUUUGAAUCGAAAACUAACCAAUCCUUUGUCGGGGCCAAGCGCCAACUAACUAUAUUUAUCAACAUGAACUUCAUAUUGUUAUUCAUGAGCGAAUGGCGCCAGUGUUCCUUUAUAAGAUUAUUGCAUUUUCAGUUUUAAUAAAGAGCGCCUACGGCUAAUCCCAUUAUGUUUAUAUAUAUAUUUAACUACAACGUUUCUUGUAUCAAUAUUAAAAACUACCGCAACUAUUAUAAUUUUUUUCCAAACUCCAAACUCCAAUAUCAGUGUUUGAUUAAAUGACUAUACAUCCCCAAAUAGUAAGUGAAUUUCACGGAUUCCAUAUCUUUCAUGGACUUGACGAUUGAAACUUAACUAAAUAUGAAAUAUGGCUUACUCUCCAUCUUUCUUCAACGUCGUCACUGAUUUGUCAAUUCUUAGUAUAAUUCCCAUGGAUAUCAAGAUAUCAUUUUCGCUUUUUGAUCCUGGUGUGAAUUUAUAAGGAUAUUCUAAUAAUCUAAAGUUUGUACCGAAUGCAAGCAAUCUGGUUACGUAUAUGAAAGGAGUACAUGCACACUGUCGAGGAUAGUUUCAUGCAUGGUACAUUAAAACUUUAAUUCAGAUAUAAAUUGAGGAUUUACACCUUUAAAUAUACUACUGGUUAACUCGAUUCUUUUUUUCUUCCUUAUCAUUUCAUAUAAGUAGCCACUCCUCCCUAAGCCCUUUCUCACUACACAAAAAAAAAAACCCAAACUACAGAUGAUAAGCCCAUCAUCUAUAUAGCCCGUUAAAUUAUCCAUCCCACCACCCUUUUUUUUAUUGAAAAAUCAAAAAUCAUAGCGGACGCAUUUUUUAUAACAAUACGGGUGGGGUGAGGAACAUCAUAUUGUGACUUUUUAUUCAUCUGUGGACCUGUGGUUUGUAUAACCCACAUGACCAGAAGAAACCUCGUAUAUAUAUAGUUGUCCUUCCAAAAUCAAAGAAAACUAAUAAAAGAAAACCAAAAAAAGGAAAAUCCCAAAGAUGAAACCGCCACAUCAGAUGAUAUUAUAUUACUAUUAUACAGUUGUAUAUACAUUCGACACGACACGACUCUGUGAGAGAAGAAGACGAAUCACGGAACCUCUCUCACUCUCUCUCUCUUUUUCGCAGUCUCAAACGCUUCCCGGCGUAAAAAACAAGAAAAGCUCCUCUAUGAUUUCUUUAUACUCUUCGUCCUCGGCCAUCAAAGCCUUUCUCGACCGCUCUCCGUUCCUUCCUCUCCGAUUUCCAUCAUCGUCACUCUCUGUUUCUGUUUCCUCCUCUGUUGGAUCUCCUAUUCGGCUUCCCUCCGCCGAAAAGCGCGCUCACUCCAUAGUCGCUGCUUCUCGAGGAGGCUCGAUGUCAUCAAACGGUGAUGAUUCUCGCCAGGUUCGUUUUUAUUUUUGUUAGUAAUCGUUAUCUAGAAGUGGCUAAAUUUCCGCAUACGUAGGUUAGGUCAGAACGAUUUAUAAAGUUCUUGCCAGUUAAAAAAAAAAAGAAGAUCUUGGGAAUAAUACCUGAUUGUUUCGUUUUCUGAUUUUUUUUCUCUUGGACCAGGUUGCUGAAUCUUUCUUCAGGAGCGUUUUAGGGCAGAUGGAAACGGUUUACCUGAACCGAAACCCGACGCCUAAAUCCGUCUUGGAACUUGUCAAAUCCGUUGACGACGUACAACUUUGCUAUGAUCAUCUCGCUUUCAGGACCUUCGGGGUAUAGAUUUUCUAUUUUCCUGCUUCAUAUAACCGGGAUGUUGUUGUUACACUUGCACCAAGUACAGUUUUCAAGGUUUAAAAUUUUUCAACAAAAGUCAAAUAUCUCAUUAUUGGCUUUAUUCUUGUGGGAAUAUGUUAGAUUGGUGGUUAUGGGAUUGAUUCGCUUGCAAGCUUUUUCCUUGACUAUGGGUAUACCCAAAUGGAUGAGCUGAGAUUUCCGGCCAAAAAGCUGAGAGCUUUGUGGUUUGCACCUCCUGAUGUUUCUGCUAUUCCUGGUGGAAGUGGCGUAAAUGGUCCCUUACCAAGAGUUUUUAUCUCAGAGCUUCUCGUGGAGCAGAUGAGUUCACAGACUCAGGUAAUAAUAACACUGUCCUUGGCUUGACCCCGGGUGGCUGGUUGUGUAUGAGCUUUGAAUGAAGUUUCUCUUGUUUCCAGGAUGUGAUUAGAAAGUACACCGAAACAUGGCCUGGUGGAAAAAAGUAUGCUGCUCUUUCUAGUGCCUUGGGUACUUUACCUUGGGAAAAGCCUCUAUCUUCCGAGUUUGAGAAAUUGGCUAGGUACAUGGUCCUUGAUUCCUCUUGGUUUGCUGUUGGAUUUUUAAGAUCAAGAGAAAGUAUUUAUUGACUCAUAACUGAAAGUGUGUUGGGUUAAAUCAAUCUACAGGGAAAGUGAAUACGCAGCAUGGACACUUGUCAAUGGCUAUGCACUUAACCACGUCACCAUUUCUGUCCAUCGGCUUAAAUCUCAUCUAAACAAAAUUAAGAAGCUCAAUCAGUUUCUCGAAGAAAAAGGUUUCAAAUUGAACUCAGAAGGAGGAGUCCUUAAAGGUUUAGUAUCUUCAGACUAAUCUUUAUUCCUGGAAUGAAAGAAAUUAGAGACGAUUAUAAGCAGCAACAACUGACACAUAAUGUAUUUUUCCAUCUUUUCUCAGUUAGCCCUGAUGGUGGUUUGCUGCAAAGCUCAACUGUAGCUGAUUCGAUUUCUUUCAAGUUCUCUGAUGGCGUCACCAAAUCUAUUCCUUGUUCAUAUAUUGAGUUUGCUGAACGCCUUGUGCUUCCCCAGUACCAAAAUGUACCUGAAACCGAAGUAAGUGACGAUUUUGAUUAAGUUUCAACUCACUUAUAAAUCGCUUACUGUGAAUCGAUGCCAUCUUUUGCUUCUCAUUGCCUAGAGAACUCCUCUUAGUUAUUAUAUAAAUCUGAUUCAUUUGUUUUUGCCUACAUUGUGAAUUGACACUUGUGAAAUCUACAAAACGCAGAUACAAGAGUCUCAUCGACGAGAUGGAUUUGAGGUUGGAAAUGCUGAUAAGAUCUUCGAGAGCACGAAUCAGGGUCAGCUUUCCCGAAGAACUGGCUAAUAGUAAAUAGUCUCGGCUUUGGCGAUUUGUCAAUCAUGCCUCGUACAUAAACAUAUGUAGAGCUGAAACUAUUUGUAAUGUUGUUAAAUCAGUAAAGAUACUAAUCUAAGAACUCUUAAUCAGAUAGUUGUGUGUGGAUCCAACUUCCCUUGGCAUUAUUUCAUACAAAUUAAGACCAAGUAGAAACCAAGUUAAUUUCUAUGGUUUUACACUUUUAAAGAAUACCCCACAUCACAAGCGAAAUGGAGAUGAUUUUUAAGUAUGGAUCCGUAAACACUCUACAUUAAAAACCCAGCAGAUCAACUUCUUGCACUAAUUGACCUGUACUUGUUGUAAGUUGGAAGAGUAUGUAACGAAAAGGUUAGAACUUUCAAAAAAAGAAAAAAUUUCGUCGAAAAGUUUCGAAAGUUUACAUCUUUAUAGAACUUCGGUUGUUUGAACAAAAAACAAAAAAAAAAAAAAAAGAGAAGAACUCCGAUUAGAAUUCUCCACUUGAAAAAGAAAAAAAAAAAUUGGGACACAUUCAAACCUUUGACAUAGGGAAAGCCAGAUAAAAGGAAAAGUAAGAGAUGAUGUAGUCCAAUUCCCCCAUUACGCCUGUGUAACCGCCGUUUCUCUUCGUCGGUUAUUCACUUCCCGAUUCAGAAUCAUUGCUCCAGCCAUCACGGAAACCCUACUUUUACCCACGUUUUUGUCUCCGCCGCCAAUUUCCAAGGGCCUCCCGAUCUACGGCCUAACCCCUAAAUGGCUACGGAGGCUACAACCGCGCACAAAUUCCAGGAACCAGACCUCCGUCCGGUAUCUCAGACACCGGAUUUUAGACCGGAAAUCGCUCACGACGGCCUCCGGUUCUGGCAAUUCAUGAUUGCUGGUUCGAUUGCUGGCUCCGUCGAGCACAUGGCCAUGUUUCCCGUCGACACGGUGAAGACCCACAUGCAAGCUCUCCGACCAUGUCCGUUAAAACCGGUCGGAAUCCGGCAGGCUUCCGUCGAUGNNNNNNNNNNNNNNNNNNNNNNNNNNNNNNNNNNNNNNNNNNNNNNNNNNNNNNNNNNNNNNNNNNNNNNNNNNNNNNNNNNNNNNNNNNNNNNNNNNNNNNNNNNNNNNNNNNNNNNNNNNNNNNNNNNNNNNNNNNNNNNNNNNNNNNNNNNNNNNNNNNNNNNNNUCGGCGCCGGACCAGCUCACGCCGUCUAUUUCUCCUUCUACGAGGUAUCGAAAAAGUUCCUAUCCGCCGGGAAUCCCAACAAUUCCGCCGCGCAUGCCAUCUCCGGCGUCUUCGCGACGAUAUCAAGCGACGCAGUUUUUACUCCAAUGGAUAUGGUGAAGCAGAGGUUGCAGAUGGGAGAAGGAACCUACAAAGGCGUCUGGGAUUGCGUCAAGAGGGUUAUGCGCGAGGAAGGGAUCGGCGCGUUCUACGCUUCUUACAGGACGACUGUUCUGAUGAACGCGCCUUUUACUGCUGUCCACUUCGCGACGUACGAGGCAGCGAAGAAGGCAUUGAUGGAGAUUUCUCCGGAGAGGGUUAGCGACGAGGAAGGUUGGUUAGUCCAUGCCACUGCAGGAGCCGCCGCUGGUGGAUUGGCAGCUGCUGUGACGACGCCGCUCGACGUUGUCAAGACGCAGUUGCAAUGUCAGGUAGAAAUUCAACUGCUCUUUAUCUCUUAAGAUACACAGUUGUGUACUGGUGUUAGUGGUAAAUGAUAGAUCUUAGGUGUUAUGCUUUUAGUCAUGAGUCUCAAUACUUGUGUUUUGGUAGGUCAAAGGCUUCUAAGAUGGACUUGUUUCGAUUUCAGUAGUUAGGUGUUGUCUUUACUCUUCUGGGAAUAAUGAUUGUGAAAAAAGAAUUAUCAGACUACUGGCAGAUGGUAACUCCAGCGUAAUUUUAUUGUUGCGGUUUAAGCUGUUUUAGUUAUAACAAUCACAUAGAACUUAGCGUUGAAAGAAUUCAAGAUCAGUUCUUUGGUUUCAGUGGCUAGAUGUUUCAACCAGUAGGGUUUAUGGUUUGUGUAUCUAAUAAUAUAAGAUAGUGUUUUAGCAAAUGACAUCUGCUAAUUGAUCUCUCACUGAUUAUCUCUUAAAACGGCCGGCCCUGUAUUGCUGUAGCAUAACGUUUAAGGAAUGUAGGAGAUAUGUUUUCGCUUUGUUUCAUUUCGAAUGUGAUAAUAUGAGGUUGAAAGAUGAAGAAGGAUGAAACAAUUUCUAAGAUCUAGUAGAAUUUUAGCAUUUGAGUGAUGUUACAGCUUUUUAGGUGUAUAAUAUUGUUUUUACUUUGCAUACAUGUGUAUGUUUUUGAUGCGUUGUGAUUUUUGCAUAUGAAACAGUAGUGUUGCUUGCUCGAGAAUAGAUGUCUUUUGCAUGCUUUUUAUUGACCUAGCAUAGAGUUUAAGAAACAGCAAUGUCAGGAUCAGCUAGGUCCAUGAUUCUUUGCUCUAAAAUGUAUGAAAUGGCCUCAAUUAUCUUUGGUGAUGUGCAGGGUGUGUGUGGAUGCGACCGUUUCACGAGCGGUUCGAUCAGUGAUGUACUGAGAACGAUUGUGAAGAAAGACGGAUACAGGGGACUUCUAAGGGGGUGGCUACCGAGAAUGCUUUUCCAUGCUCCUGCAGCAGCGAUCUGUUGGUCCACUUAUGAAGGGGUCAAAUCUUUCUUUCAGGACUUCAAUGGCGAUUCAAACACUGCCUGAAAAAAAAAAAAAAAAAAGACAAAGGGUUAGGCGAUUCAUACUCUUGAGGAUCCUGUUUGUUUUUUUGUUUGUAAAAUGGGUUUUUUCAGGUUUUAUGUCAUAUUAGAUUACAUUUUUCUAGGUUUGUGUUGAUGAUGCUGUCGUCGAGAAAUUUUGAUAAAAGUUGUAUCCAAGCUUCUAGUAAUAACUUAACAAAACAUUGCACAUCUUCUCUCUUUUCUUAUCUGUAGUCGACACUAAACUCGAUUCAGUCUCAUUUCUAUUUUUUUUCCUACCAUUCAUCCGAAGGACAAGCGAAACUCCAUAAUCAAAACAUGUACUUUAAGUCAGGAUGUGAGCUUAGUUGAGCACUAUAACUUGGUUUCGGAAAUCAAUCUCGAAAAUAGGAAUGCGAGAACAGAGGAAGAGAACAUCUUCGAGCUGCUUUAAGCUACGAUGGAUUACCAUGAAAGAUGAAAUCGAAGCAGCUGAGAUUGUGUGAGACGGGAGCGAUGGACGGAGCUAUUUAUUUGGUUAAAAUAAUAUAUAUAUAUAUAUAUAUAAAUAAAUAUAAAUGUGAAGAAGUACAACGAGGCACCAGUGGUCUAGUGGUAGAAUAGUACCCUGCCACGGUACAGACCCGGGUUCGAUUCCCGGCUGGUGCAUUCGAGCUGUGAAGAAAUUGGCUUUAGCGAUGGUUGGGUCCUUCGCACACAUCUGAUUCCAGAUGAUAUAUGCCUCACGUCUGAGCUCAAAAUUUUUUUUACACAACUCAGUGCAAUACAACUGCAUCGGCUUCUCUCUUAAUCUCCGACAUACUGUAAUACGUUUCCCGUCUCCAAUUGCAGAAAGAAAAGCAGCUUCAGGUGAUCUCACAUGGAAGGUUUUUCUCCUCUCUUUCUUCUGUUUAGUUCUUAUUAGGAUUCAAAAACCAGAUUUGGUCUCUCUCUCUCUAGCUCUGGAUUUAUGGAAUUGGGAUCUGCUUAACUGGUGGAUGAAUGAUUUGCAGAGAACAACGCCGGGAGCGACUCAGACUCCAAUUCCGUAGAAGAGUCGCAGGACUAUUACGAGCCGAUCUCAGCCGUCGAUUUAGACGGUGGAGACGACGACGGAAACGAUGAGGAAGACAAUAAUCGUCCGAUCGGUGGAGACGACUUCAGCAACGGACUCUCUAACGGCCAUUGUAUGAUCCUGGAAGCAGAGGACGGAAUCUCUUCUUUAAGUAUAAACGGACACGCAGAGCAUAAGAGUGAGAGCGAAGAAGACACUGAGACGGAGACGCCAGAUUCGGAGAUCCGUGCAGCAUUUGAAGAGGACGAACGGCGUAGAAGAUCGCCGUUAGUGGUGGAGAAUGCGGCGAGGGUUAUGGAGGCAAUGCGAGCCAUCUCGUUCCCUGGAACGGCCCCUGAUUGGGCCUCUGAUGUUAAUGAAGAUCGUUGGAUUGAUCAGCUUCGGAGAUUGAGAUCCACUUCUCAUAACUAAACACUAUUUCUCAAACUUUAUUGGUUCAAGUGUUUGAUCUCUCUUAAGAAUUAAAAAUCCAAUCUUUCUCAAUAUCUGUUUAACGUGACAUCCAAAAUUUCACGAUAACACCAAUUCCAAGCAGAGAUUUUCACUACUCUUAACUUUGCUUUGUGGCUUACUGCUUGUGGAGUUUGUGUCCACCAAUAUUUCUUCUCAAGAGAAACUGCACUUUCAUUAACGUGUUACAAUAUUUUCCUUUAAUAUUCAUCCAAAAGUAAUACUAAGCAGUGUUUUGCUAUACAAACCCUGUACUUGAUGAAUACCGUAUGUUUCUGAUGAUUCACAUACAUUUAUACAUGCAUACAUACAUAGAGUUCAAAGUUUGAAGUCACUCAUCUGCAUCUUUCUCUCCACUGGGUCUUGUCUGAAACUUCUGCUGCUUUUUUCUUUGUUCAUGCUAAUAAAAAUGGUGAAAAGUUUGAAUCUUGAACAUGACAGUUUGGUUCUUGUAUUGAAUAGCGUUUUAAAUGUAAUCUGCAACUUGAAGUUCAUGAAGUCUGUCCUGGUUGCUCCUUAUAACUCUAGCUUUGUCCCCUCUUAUCUCCAGAACCUGAAGAAACAACACCCAGUGUCAGUCAUCGUUCUGGGGUGGGGAUAUAUAUAACCAAGACAUAAAACCAAGAUUGUUGAAAAAUACCUCUGGUCUAGAGUCAAGAACACCACUGGACAUUCCCACAUCAACUCUCCAUAUGCUGCAACCAUAUUCACUAAUAAAAUACAAAACCCAUAUCUCAUCAUAGAGUUGUAUAGAUCUUGUGAUUAACAUCUACUGGGAAUGAAUUUCGCUAAAUGUACCAGUUUACGCCUGAUAACUGGGGAGUAUGGCCGACCACCAUUGCCUUGGCCCCGACAGCUUCAAGAGUGUCCCGGAGAAUUUUACUUACCUGAUUAGAAAGAAAAAAAAAAUCAGGAAAGACAUUAAAUCCAUGUUGAUGAUGAGGAUAUAACAGAGGAUUUUGGUGACUCAAAUUCAACUUGCCUGUUCCAUUUGAUAGUCAUCCAGAUCAGAGGUCUCUCUUGAGUAAAGUCGGCUCCAGACCACACUGUCAUAUCCCCGAGUUGCAAUGAAUGGCAUCUGAGGACUCUCUUCAUAGUCGUCAGUAUAGCUUCUCAUCCAGGUAGCGACUUCUCUGUUUAUCCUCUCAACGCCGUAUGCAACUGUGGAAAGUACAUAGUUAGGAAGAAGGUACAUCUCUCAAAGCCGAGAAGAAAUGUGGAGAUAGACUGAUUAUCUUUACCAUGAUGAGGAAGGAGACCACCGUGGCAGAAAACCCAGUCAUUAACACGCAAGAUAACUCCGUGACGCGCUAAUUCACAUGCUAAUCGACCACCUGGUCUGAAAAGGACCGACCUUGCAAUCACUCCCUUUUGCCUCUGUCCUAAUAGUUUUCCAACGACUUUUGGUUAACCGAAAAAUACAGAAGUUAGAAGCCUCAGAGAGGGCACAGCAGAAUGAAGUACCUUUACUACAUUCCAUUGAUCCCAAUAGGUUUGAGAACUUCUCCUAUCUUCUUUCCAUUGUCUUGACUCAAAAAUCCAAUUUUUAAACGCUUUGUCCCAAUCUUGUCCAUAAUCCUCCAAGUAGUCGAGAAAAUCUGUACACUCAUCAAAUGCUCUCGCAUCUACGUAUCUGAAAUCCCCUUCAACGUUCAUUGUCUCAUGGUUCCCAUUAACCUUAAAAUUGAACAAUUAUUCUCUCUGUGUUAGUUCUAUCUUAGUUGUCCUUUCUGUAACAUAUACUUAUCAAAUUCAAGUGUGAUAGCAUUCAGACCUGGAAAACAGCUCCACCGUUAGCUUUCGCCUGUUCAUCAAGUAACCUCAGUAACGAGAGUAUUGCAAUUUCAUCAUCGCCACGAUCCAGUAUGUCUCCUACCUGAACUAGUACCUGUAUUUUUCAUUUAUUGAUUUCACAUAAGUCUGAAGAACUCACAAAGGCUUAAAAGUCAAGAGAUACGAAGCUGUAUGAGACAUCCACUAAGAGAUCUUAAACAUCAAGACAGCAAUUCAGAAACAGAUUGAUUACAAGAGAUUGCUUUCAAUACAAGCGUAGUAUCAUCUAUACAUAUCCCUAUCUUGAAGAAUAAGAACUCCAUUUCCCACUCUGUUUCAACCGUUGAACUAUAAUAGAAACUGAAUUUAUGUCAAGUGAUGAUAAAAGACAUACAGUGUCUUUGCCGAUCCACUGGUCUCGUCCAUCGGAACUCAAGACUCCGGGCCAUCUGAAGCGCGUCUCUGGCUUUACUCAGAUCGCCGUGAAGGUCUCCAACUAUGCAUACCAUAGAAAACCCAGUAGAGCAAAAACUCAAAAAUAUAUAGUUUUCUCAAUUUGUUGUUGUAUUAACGAAAAGAUUAAUUUUUUUUUCAAGAUUUGGUGGCGAACCUGCGAUGAUACGGCGAGAGGAGCAGAGACGGAAGUGGGGUGGAUCUCCAUUGACGACGAUCGCUCAGAGAUACUCGUUACAACUGAAGUGCUCACAAAGAGGAGGAAGACGAAGGUUCGAGAAGUUUCUGGGAUGAGAAGGAGGAAGCGGAAGUAAGGAAUUGAGGUAAAGAGAAGCAUUGGUGGUGGUGGAGGAGCAAUGAUCACCAGAGUUUUGAUGAAAUGACUUAACAUUUGUGUUCGUCUACUCUGAAAUUUGUGACUUGUGUUCAAAUGCAUGCUGAGUAAUCCUCUUUUUCUAUCUACUGGCUGAGAUUUUUCCUCUGAAAGAUUGGUAUUUAAAAAAAAAAAAAAAAAGAUAAAAGAGGAGCCACAAAGGGAAAAAGCAAAAAGGAGGCUCUGUUUCUGUUAUUUGUGAGAUAAGUCCUCUAGAAUAUAGUCUUAACCAAAAAAAAUGUCUAUAAGAAAAUUCUCGUUUAGGGUAAUUUUGUAAGCCUAAUAAGUAUUGGAACCCCCAAUCUUAAUAUGUUUUAUCAUAAAGCAACAAGUAUUAUUUUCACAAUUCACGGUUUGUCAACGAAUUUAGAAUACAACUGUUUGUAUGUUGUAGAAACUGUCUUCUCGGUUUAUGGUUAUACAUGUUUUGGUAAACUAACUUCAAAUCUCUGUUAAUAAUACUUGGCAAUUCUUACAACUUUGGUCUAUAUAAAUCAAUAAGUUUGUACUUAAGAAAAAGGUCUUUUAAUUGUGUUCAAGUGCUCUUUCUUCAAAUGUUACUCAUAUCUUCUGAAGUUUUUGUAUAUUUAAUUCAUUUAGAUUAAUCAUCAUAUGAUAAUUUCGAUAGUACUUUUCUAAUUUAUUAGGUUUAGUAAAAAGACAAAGAAAGAGAAACUCAAAAGAACAAUACAACACAAACAAAAGAGCACUACAAGAGUCAUCAUUGAAUAUAAGACUGGCCAGUGAUGUCAAUGUCUCUAUCGCCGGAAGAAGGUGGUUGCUUGUGCUUUGGCUUCAUCGUCUUCACCUCGUCUGGUCCAUCUGCGCUCUGUGUAUCGCUGGCCGGUUGGUUAUGCUGCUGAGGCUCGUUCUCUAUAUUCUUGGCUUCUUUCUUUUUAGUCUUGACAUCUACCUCUUUCUCAUCGUCUUUACCGUAAAGCCCGCCUCCGUAAGCUUCCUGCAUCAUCGGCUGCAUCUGCGAGACAUACGGUGGCUGGUUCUGACGUGACUCGUACAUGUUGCUCCCUUCCUUUUUCUUUUGUUGUUCUUCCAUAAUCAAUUCGUCUUUGAAGUGGACGCCGAGUGGUUGAUCUAUUUUAUAUGGAAAGUGGUUUUCAGACACGUAUACUUUUUCUUCCCUGGUGCCGUCGUCAGAAGCAAACACGUGAAUUGAAGUAGGCAAAAUAUUAUGACACAUCAUCUGUUCAUCUUUAAAUUUUUUUAUUUUUUAUGUGUAUAUUCAUUAAAACCUAUUUACAUAAUAUAUAAUCUAUAUACGUAUGUAUAUUUAUUAGAACUCAUUUAAGAGUCAUUUGUCAUACUAAAAUACAUUUGUCAUGCCUAAUCUAUAAAAAAAUAACAUGUAUAUAUAUAUAUAUUUAAGUUCAUUUGUAAAAAGAGAACUGAGAAAGUGAAACAAAGAAAGAAAACGAAUGUUAGGUUUAAACAUAGCUAAUAGAUGGCAUACAGUUCAAUUUAUCGUGUUGGUGAACUUAAAAGAAAAUAUAAGAACAAAAUCCUAUCAAACGAAAGUUGAAUGCUUCAAAAAUCAUAUAAAUAUCAAAUUAAUAUACUCAACCUAUACUAAGAGCAGCCUCAAUGGUGAUAUCCUCUUGGGGUCCAUCUGUAAUUUUUUAUUCAUUUAAUUUUGAGAAAUUAAAAAUUUAGAACCCAUCAAAAUUUUAUGUCCAAUGGUUCAAUGGUGAUCCCCAAAUUUUUUUCUGUUUACCGCAGAAUCCCAAAACACACAGCUUCAUUUUUUUCUCUCCGUUAAUUAGAAGCUACCAAGUUGCGACGAACCCAGGUUCAUCAGCCUCUUAAAUAAGAGACUGGAUCAUCGAAUUUAUGGGCUUUUACAUUUUUUUUGUAGUUUUUACCUAUGAGUUUGAGCCAUGAUAUCCUCUUGAACCUCCAUUGGAGGUGCUCUAAGUGAAAAAAAGAGUGGGCCUCUCAGCCUAUUACCAAACUUGACAGUUCUGUACGAUCCAAACUUAUCGAUCCCAAAAUUAAGAGAUAUGUCUGUUGGUCCAAUUCGUAAAUGCAAGAAAACAAAAUCAUCGGCCUAUUCAAAAGUGGACCCGACGCCGAAAAUUCAACGUGACGAAGUCAUUGGCCCAUAACCAAUUUCCACAAUUCAACGAUUGUUUCACUAUAGAGUUUAGUUUUAGACCGUUUCUUGAUUUGGGGAGUAUUGAACAAACGCAUAACGCUUAACGUGGUUGGUAAAAUGCGUUCACGUUAUGGAAACAUCAAACCAGACAAAACCAAAAGAAAUUAAUUCGAAGACAAAGUCGUGGUCGUGGCAAUAUGAAAUUACAGAUUCCAUUAAAAUACAAACAGAAACACACAAGUCAGACAUGGUUCCCGCGUCUAAUCUUAUUCUUAUGACGAAGACUUUCUCCAUAUUAUAGUCUUCCUCUAAUGGUGUUUCGUCAUUAUUCACCCAAUCCACCAAAUUCCCCUCAAUAUUAUUGAUCCCCAUCAAACCAUAUGGCUGAAGCCGGCGACGAGAAUCUUUACGCAGCCGCCAGAGACAUCGCUAGAGCCCUUGGCAAGGAUCCAAGCGCCGCCGGAGAUAUCUUACAGAUCCUUUCCGGAUAUAGUGGCUCCGGGAGCCUCGGCGGCGACCCUCGACCCACCGGAGUCCGCGGCGGCGCAAACCUUAACCUUGAACGGUCCCUCAACUCCUUAGAGCGACAGAUCUCUGGCUACAUCGUGGAGGAUCGGCCGAUCUGGUCCGAUCCCGUUGACUCGCGAACUUUCCUCGACGCCGUUGAUGAGCUAAUUACGAUGGCCGGAGACUUGAGAUCCGUGGCCGGAGAUAAAUCCGCCGCCGUCUGUCUCUCCCGUGCCGAUGAUCUGAUUCAACAGGUGAUGUUUAGGCUUCAGGAAGAGUUUGGAUAUGUAAUGGACCGAGCCCCUGAGUCGUUUGACUCCGACGACGACUUCUCCGGGGAAGAAGACAACGGCAGAAGCUACGGGGUCCAACAGGUAAUUAAUUAAUUACAAAUUGGUAACAUAAAUAAAUUUAAUUUUCAUAAUUACUAAAAGUCUAAAACUAAUCCGCAGUAACUUUUAAGAUCUAGAAGUUGACAAUCCGGUUUAGAUUGAUUUUUGGUUUUAGACAAACUAGAACCAAACAAAAGCUAUUCUUUUUGUUUUGUAAUAAAAUCAAUGUGGUUGUGAGUUCGGUUUAAAUUUUUACAGUUCAAUCCCCUAUUAUGAUUUGUGGUUAAAUUCGCAAAAUUGCUCAUCUGAACAGGUAACUGUUGCACCUCCAAUCACCGAUUACAAAAUCGUGAUCGAGCCGUUGCCAUCAAGCGUUAUAGGCGAUUUAAACGCGAUUGCUGUGCGGAUGGUCGCUGGUGGUUUCGGAAAAGAGUGUUCGCGAGUGUACAGUAGUCGACGGAGAGAGUUUCUAGAGGAAAGUUUGUCGAGGUUGCAUCUGAGAGGACUAAGUAUGGAGCAAGUGCAAGAGACUCCAUGGCAAGACCUUGAAGACGAAAUCGACCGUUGGAUCAAAGCAGUCACCAUGGUGUUCCGCGUUUUCUUUCCGAGCGAGCGUCUUCUCUGCGACCGCGUUUUCUCUGAUCUCCCUGUUUCCUCUGUAACCGAUCUCUCUUUCAUGGAAGUUUGUCGUGGAACGACCACACAGAUUUUGAAUUUCGCAGACGCAAUCGCUUUAGGAAGCCGUUUGCCUGAACGCUUGUUUAAGGUUAUGGAUUUGUACGAAGCGAUGCAAGACCUAAUUCCCAAAAUGGAAACGCUAUUCUCCAAUAAAUACUGCUCGCCGCUAAGGCACGAGGCGGUCGCGAUUCAUAAACGGUUGGGAGAAGCGAUCAGAGGGAUAUUUAUGGAACUCGAGAAUCUGAUCCGUCGUGAUCCUCCCAAAACCGCGUUUCCUGGCGGUGGGAUUCACCCAAUUACACGGUAUGUGAUGAAUUAUCAGCGUGCGGCGUGUAAAUCGCGACAUUCCUUGGAGCAGAUCCUUGAUCAGACCGGGAACGAAACCGGAUCAGACACAAGACCUUUGUCGGUUCAAAUCAGAUGGGUUUUGGAGUUGUUGGAAAGUAACUUGGAAGGCAAGAAACGAACUUACCGAGACCCGUCGUUGUGUUUCUUGUUCAUGAUGAACAAUGGGAAGUAUAUUCUUGAUAAGGCCAAGGAUAACGAGCUAGGUUCGAUCCUAGGAGAAGAUUGGAUUGUGAAGCAGACAGCUAAACUGAGGCAAUACCACUCUAAUUACCAAAGGAGCUCGUGGAACCAAGUGGUGGCAUUGCUAAGGACCGAGGGUCCGUAUCCUAAGCUAAUAGAGAACCUUAGAUUGUUCAAUGUCCGGUUCGAUGAAGUGUGUCUGACGCAGUCUCAAUGGGUUGUAACUGACGAGCAAUUGAGAGAAGAAUUAAGAAGCUCCGUCGCCGGAAUUGUGGCUCCGGCGUACUUAAAUUUCAUCGCAAGAUUGAAGGCAUCGCCUGAGAUUAAUGGGAGGCGUGGAGAGCCGUUUAUUGCGUAUACUGUUGAAGAUUUGGAGAUGCGGAUUAAGAGUUUGUUCAAGGAAAGCUCAAGUUGAUUAAAUUUAAUAUGAAAAGAAAAUGCAUUAUUAAUCGAUAAAUCUGUAAAAUUGUGAAUCCUGUUAAAUUUUUUUUUUUGUUUUGGGUGAAUGUGCAGGAUCAAUCAUUGAAAAUGAAAGAGUGACAAUAUACAUCAAAGCUUAGAAUCAAUUUCAUGGACCAGCUGUGAUGAACUAAGACUACUAAUACAUAACCAAUAUAUAUGUUAAGAGUUUUAGGCAUUAGUCAAGAAGCUUGGAUAUGGUAGGGUAGGUAGCAGCAAAGAGGUGAUUGUAGGUGGCGAAGGAAGGGUGAAUAGAGUCAAAGAACAUAUACUCCGAGCGAUUCGAACAUAACUUAGAACGUGAAUCGCACAAGUCACCCGUCUCAAUGUACCCUGUUCCGCAACACCCUUUCUUCGUUUCCUUAAACCCUAUACGUGAAUAAAUGUCCAAGAAGUCAAGACACUAUGGAGAUGGCUUGAGGAAGAAGCAAAGUAAACAUACCGUAUUUAGUAGGGUUCUUGAUCAUGUCCAUCGUGGGAUCAUAGAUAUUUGAGUAUACGAUCUUGCUUCCUGGGAGAGACGCUUCAAUAGCAGGCAGUAGCUUUUGAAGCUUUUCAUUGUACAAGAGUGCGUCUCUGUUCUCUCUUUCUACGCAUUUUCUGAAUUUUCCACUGCGGAGUUUUGUGGUCAUUUGGACCGGCAAGCAACCCACCGGUGACAACCCACCCACCGACAUUUUUCUGCACCCUAAAUUGUAAAUCUCCUACACACACCAAAAAAAAUAUCAAGUGUACAUUUUAUAUAGUCUCUUCUAAUGACGACAACAUACAAGACAUACUAGGCCGCUAUAUUAUUGGAGGUACAAAUAAUUUUCAUUCUUGAUCAGAACUACUCUGUAGAUGUCACCAUCUAAAUCUAUUGAGAAAGAACAAUUUUAUUAGGAAAAACAAGCUUAGAGAAGUAAACGGUUACCUUGACGAAGUUCUCUAAUCUCUUGAGAAGGAAAUUCUGGUAAUCAGAGAUCUUAGGAUAGUCGAGACGCCUUGUGGGAAGAUCAUAAUAGUUCAAGGUGAAAUCGUUAGUACCUGCACUAACGAUCACGAUCGCACCAUUUAUGAUCUCCAUCGCUUUCUUCUCUCCCACGAUACCUUUGAGACGAGAAAUGUAAUUCUUGAACAUGGUAGGUUGGUAUGAGACCGGGAUGGCCUUUGUGGUGAGCAUAGUUCGGUCGUCAUAGCCUGAACCAGCGGAUGCAAAGCUAACCCCGGUGACGAUUUCUGCGUCAGAGAGGUUUGGUUGGAGAAAAGGAGGAACUAACUCUUUGAUGUGAAGCCUGGAGGCGAUAAUUUCGCAGUAGAGCUUUCCAUUUGAGAAUCUCCCACUCGCUGCUUUCCCUUGGAGAUCGACUCCGUAAGGGAUACGAUUUGCCUUGAAGUUGGCAUUUGGGUGGUAAUUAUUGUUUCCCGUGUCCGCGGUUGAGUCUCCGAAGAUUAGGAUCGCCGGUGCUAGCGGUUGCGAUUUGGCGGUAUCGGCCGCGUUGCAAGACGCAACUAGAGUUAUUAUGAAUAGAACGACCGCUCUGGUUUUGGAGGUAGUCAUUGUUAAUAGUUGAAAGUUUGUAGUUGAAUUGCAACUUUUUGGAUUUUGGUCAAGUUUCUGAUGUAAUUGUUACUGCUUUAUCAACUCUGUUUUUUAAAGGGUUGGAUUUUAUAUGUGUUUGAAAGUUAUUUACUAUUGGAUUAAAUUGCUCUUUGUACCGACUUUCUUAGUUAUGAGUUCGUUUAUUACUUGAAAGUUGGGAAACAAAAAACAAAAGGGACAAAAUAAAGGUUUUUAUCUGACAAAAAUAGACGUUUUAGAUACUGAAAUCUAAUUAAGGAGAUUUAUUGAACAAAAAAAAAUUUAUAAGAGAUUCAAAGCUUGACCAAAACUGAAGAGAUAACCCAAAGAAAAAAGAAACAAAACCGAUAAGAUAUUUAUACUAAGAAAAAAUUUGUAGUUUGAGUAAUUUGUUCUAACAAUUUUUUUUAAAAAAUAGUAAAUUACUUGAAUUCACAUAUACGUAGUCAUCCACCCAAGUAGUCCUCGACUAAGCAGACACAAUACCUAAAAUGUAUGAGACUGUAAAAGAGUAAUAAUUACAACUUACUCUACUCCUAAAACAUAUAACUCACGAUCGCAUAUUACCAGGUUUGAAAGAAGUCUAUAACACUGCAUAUCAAGAUAACAAUUUCUUCAAUUUUAACAGACAGAGCACCACUCCCAAGCAUUUUGCUAUAGAGUUUAAAGUAAUAGUAGAUAGCUUAAGCAAAAGCGAUAUAGAUUAACCUCCUGAAUACAUAUUACAUUAAAAGGAAAAAUAAAAAUCAAUGGAGUACGUGGAUGAUUUGAUCAACAAGACUGAGACUGACGACGAGGUAAGCAAGUUGGGUAGGAUGAAUGUCGUCCCAGAAAAGGAAGUGGUUAGGGUCGGGACAAGUCGGAGUUAAAGGAUUGCACAAGUACGAUAGUUCCAUUUCUCCUGUUCCGCAGCAUCCCCUCGUCGUCUCCUUUAUUCCUGUCCCCUUCAAAUAAAUUAAUUCAGUACUUAACUUGUGAGGAGAACAUGAAAUUCGCAUGGUAUAUUCAUUCAUUCUGAAUUUUCUUUGGUUACAAUUGUACUCAUAACCUGUAAAGCGAGCACACUACAUCUAUAAAUUUACAUUAAAAUGAAAAAUAAUAAUUCUAGUGUUUAAUUCUAUGAUAUAACAUCAACAUAAAAUUGAAUGCAACUACAAAAGCAUGCAUGUAGCAUAUUGAUCACUUGUUGUUAUCAUCCUUGCGAUAAUGUUCAAACCAACAAAAAUGCAUAUAUUGUUGACUAAAGGAAAAAAAAACAACAAUAUAAUGCUGAUUUUUUGGUGUGGAUAACCAACAAUUAUAAAUUAACAAGCAAACGACUUCAUGGUCUUCCAACCAAGCCAGCUAGACCGGCUUAAGUAGCUGAUAUGUAAUGUUAUCAAUAUAGGUGUAUUAGGGAACCAAAACCUUAAUUUGUUUUUUUGUUUUUUUGUAACUUUUGUUACCGAAUUGUCUAAGACUCUAAAUAUAUAUGUCUUAAACUUACAUUGUUUCCGUGGCCGAUCAUAAUAUAUCAAUUAUAUUUCAAUGAACUUGAUUUGGAAAAAGUUGCAAUUGUAUUAACAAAAAAAAAUUAAGGAUGCAAUAGAUCAAAACGCAAGGAGAACUUGAUUUAUUGCGAAACGUAAUGUGCAUGGGAUAAAUGAAAACGUUACGUUACCGUAUCUUUGGGGAUUAGUAGCCAUGUCCAAUAUUGCUCCGUAGAUAUCGGCGUAGAAGAUGACACUACCAGAGAGAUUGGAUUGAAUAACCGUCAGGGACUUCUUUAGCUUCUUGUUAUACCUUUUUGAAUCUGAGUUUUGUUUGUCGAUGCAUCUUCUCUCGCUCUGCUUUUGCCUAUCCAUCGUCAUCUGAAUCGGUAAACAUCCGAUCGGCGGUAGUCCCAAUACCAUUAUUUUCCGGCAACCAAUGUCAUAUAGUUCCUAUAUAUACCACAUAACACAUCUAAUAUUGUAUAAACAAAACAACAACAAAAAAUAAAACCUUUAAUAAUUAACAAUGUGUAUGAUGAGAAUUGUUGUUUACUUGAACGAAGUUUUUUACACCCGAGAGAAUGAAAUUUUGAUAGCCAUUGACGCCGAGCUUGACACGAGGAGAAGGAGUAUCGUAAAGAUUUAUAUCGAAGUCGUUAGUUCCCGAGCUUACAAUCACAAGAGCCUCGCUGAGUAUCGUGGCCGCUUUCUCUUCUCCGGCGAUUCGGUUCAGCCUCGCCAAGUAACUUCGGAGCAUAUCUGCCUGUUUGGCGACGGAUAGACUUAAAGUAGCUAGAUCAGUGUAGUUGUCGUAACCUGAACCGGCUGAGGCAAAGCAAACUCCGGUGAGAAUGUCGGAAUCCGACAAAUGUGGGUCGAGGAAAGGAGGAACGGUGUCUUUGAUUCCCAUAAGAGAAGCAAUGAAGUCCGGUAUGAGUUUACCGUUGGAGAAUCUUCCGGUGGCGUUUCGGCCGGGGAAAUUGCAGCCGUAAGGAGGGAAGUUAGCACGAAUGAUGGUGUUGAUGUAGUUGUUGUUUCCGGUGUCGAUCGUGGAGUCUCCGAACACGAGAAUCGCCGGGAACAUUGAUGCGUUGUUGAUUGUCUCGUUGGUGCUAUUUGCAUGGCUUGUUCUCAAUCUUAGUAUAGUUGUUAUGAUCAUGAAUAUUAUUUCAUGGAUCAACAUUAUCUCUUUCCUUCUCUCUUUCUUUUUUUCUCUUUUGUGAUUUUUUUUGUUUCUUUAUAGGACGAGUCGGCUGAUUAUUGGAGAGUCUACUGGCUAUCUAUAUGUAUUCGUAAUUCGUGCGUACGUGUCAUAUGCCGUCGAAUUGUUGACUUUUUUGUUUGACCUUUACGUGGGCCAAGGAAAUUAAAAUGGGCCUCAUUGAAAGCUCAUACUAAACUCCAGCACUCAACGUUAGCGCUCCGGUGACUGUUCCCGUCAAGUCAUGGUUUCCUCAUUCCAUCAAAAUGUUUUUAUUUUUUCAAAUCAAUCCAAAUUGCUGGCUCUGACUUUUUUUUUUCUUCCUAGCACCUUUUUAAACUUGAUGGAGCGUCAAAUGAAAUGAUCUAAGUUUGGUCCAAAAGAUAAACCACGACUGAUUCUGAGAUAAUUGACUGAUCAUACAAAUGAAAAAAAAACGAGGUGCUAUUUUUCAUAAUUGUACAAUAUUCAUAAUUUUGUUUUAUAAGCCACAAACAAAUCCUUAUUCCUUAGGGUAUUCAAUUCUUUUAAAAUAAAAUGGGGCGUAUAAGUGUUUCAUCGUUCUGUCCUCAUGGCUGAUCCAAAGAUAAGUGAGGAUAUUUGUGAAUAAGUUUGUCUAUAUCAUAGAUUAGAAAAAUAAGGUUAAACUUAAUUUCCUUGGGUAAAAUAAGGGUAAACUUGUAUAGUAUUCUCCACACUAUAUAAAUGUAUGUUGUGAGCUAUAUAUUAUGAUAGUAAAUGAUAAAUCUUCACAACUUAAACUCUCAUGCAUGAUCAGUCCAUAAUAUUUUUGCCCAACCUCACCUAUAAAAUUAAACGCAUCGAUAUUCAAUCAACUACACAAACCUUAAAAAUUGGAGCGUCUUGGUCACUACAAAAAAAAAUUAUGUGGUAGAUAAGAAUGGAUAUAUAUAUAUAUGUAUAUAUGAAUGUAUGGUCAGUAAUAGGCCUUACAACCAAAAGGAUGCACGCACAUAUCCUCAGAAACGUUAAAAUAUACGUAAAUGGAAACCGACGAGAUCAUGCAAAAAAUUUAUAUACCGAUAUGGCGAUACUGUAUAUGUAUAUAUAUAUAUGUGGUUGUUAAUGUUGAUAUCUUGGUAUAAUCUCUUAGAAAAAUGGAUUCUCUUAAGACCAAACACGAAAACGAGUUUGGAAAUAGAAGUACGUGCAGCGGGAUAUCAGUUAAGAUUUCAGAAAUCAUUUACGGUCCAAAGGAGAAAACAAAAGGAUAUUGCACACGAGAGUAAAUCUAACCAAACGUGUGUUAUAGGCUGGAGAUAUCUCCAAUAUCUAUGCUAAACCUUUAAAUUAUUCCUUUCGUUUGUCUUUAUUCGAUCAGGUUCGUCCCCCCUAAAACACCACUUCGUCCCAUAAUAUAUACUUUCCGUUGGUUAAAACAAAAUAAAAGAGUGGCUAAAAUCAAAUCUUCCUCGGGUUUAGGGGAAUUAGUCUUUGAUAUUUUCAUUAGAAUUUUCCGUCUCUUACUAAAAAUUCGAAAAUAUGUAACCCAUAUACCAACUCCCGUCAUAUAUAUUCAUAUAGUGUUUUCUAUUUUCCAACCUAAUUAUGGUGUUCUAGUGGUUGAGAAAUAUUCACCUUGAAAAUGUAAAAACAAGAUCUGGAUUUUCUUACCGAAAUUUCAAUCAUGGUUAAUUAUUAUAGAUGCAUUUGAUAAGAGAAUCCUAAAACUAGUUUGAAUUUUGGUUUGACAUUAUGAUUGAAAAAAAUGUAGAAUUCUAAGUUGAUGAUUGGGGAUAGAAAGUAGACUUUGAUUGAUUUGGUCAUUUUGACCCAAAAAAACGCCAGCUAUACUUCUUAUAAUAUCAUUGCAUUCUAUAUGAUUACAUUUGCAUAUCUUUCGAUUCUUUUCCAUUUUUUAUUGGCCUCGUUAAAUAAUACAGCCGCGCCUAGAGGUAUGCAACUAAAGAAAAAUUAAUCUUGUUUGUUCACUAGUAUCCAAUAUGCUUAAAAAUUGUACGGCGAAGUUACCCUCCAAAGCUUUCUACGUUUCUAGUUCAUUUAUAAUUUUAAAGUAUCUUAUACCAUUCGGUUCGGUUUUUCUAAUUAUGAUUUUUUUUUGUCUAUUUCUACAUAUGCGUAAAAAUAUUAGUAAGAUAAUUGACAAUAGAGGACAAAAUUUGACAAAUUCAAAGUUGAUUAAAGUGGUUAAUGAUCCACCGUGGAAGUUGUGAAAUUGUGGAACAAGACAGGUUUGGCUCACGUUCUUAAACUAUGGUCCCUUUUUAAAGAUUCAUAAGAAAGACUCAUUUCAACAAUUUGUGCAUGGUGCACACUCACCCGAAAUCUCAUCCGCGUUCUAAUAAAAGUUCGCCACUCUCUGAUAGCCAAAUUAAUUAAGGUAUUAUUAGUACUCUCGAAUUAAUUAUAUUUUCGGCGCUAAUCGUACGUAGUCGGUGCCCCAAACGUCCGUACGACGAAGCUUCCUCGUUCAUGUCGUAAAUUCUUUACCAAGAUUUGUUUUGCCCCCGGUUAUUUUUUGUUUUUUUUUUUUUUUUAAUUUCAUACAUUCUCUUGCUCUUACUUUAGUUCAUCCUUAAUAAAGCAUUGGUUCUCAACCUUACCUCUUAUUACAGUAUAUAUGUUUUUAGAAAUUUUUUUUUUCUGCUUUGCUUUAUAAUGAGUAUUAGAGUUAUCUUAGUAUGUUUUAGAAACGCUCAAUAAUUUUAUAACAUAGGUAAGUACAAUCCACAUGAACUUACAACAACAAUAGUACUUAACUUUUAGGCAUGUGAAUUCACUGUGAGAACCUAAUGAUUUCACAUAUAUAAAGUUCCUUAGUAGAAUUUAAAGACUCAGCUCCUCUUUGUCUAAACCAGUAAUAAUAGUUUAAUUUGGUGUACGGACUCUUAUGUACUUUUCAAUUGAUUGAGUAAUUCAAAUUUAAAGUAUUUAACUAUAUAUUGAUGUGGUCCUGCGGAUUACUUAUCCCCUCUCUUGCUUAAUCAAGUAAACUUAAUAACUCAUCCAAACCCGAGAGCAACGGAUCUUCAACUGUAAUAUAUAGAGUACUUAAUCCCCGCAAGUUGCAGAUAUCGUAGUUAAGUACGUACUAACGUACGUACGGUUUUGACUAUAAUUAGUGUGAGAAUAGUCAUUAACAGACAGUCUUAAAAGCAACAGAAUAGUUUAAGUAACUCAAAUAUUAUUCUACUAUGAAGAAACAUAUACAUAUAUACAUAAAUGGUUCCUACAUUUGACAGUGCUAUUAUGGUCUAAAUCAUUUGAAUAAUAACGUAAACGAAUAUCUCUAUAUAUAACCGCAAGCGCUUAAUGUAUAUAUUUUCUAAAAAAUUCAUCAUAAUGUCUGCAUAAUAUUUUGUCCAUCAAGACAGCUGUUUUCCCAAAUGAAAAAAAAAACAAAAAAAAACAAAAAAUCGUUCAACCGAUGCUUGCAUUUUAAAUUAAUAAAGUACACAUAUUUUAAACAAAAGAAGAAAGUACAGAUAUACGACUUUGCAUUUAACGAUGAUGGAAAUAUUUAUAUUGACGGUAGGAAAUAUGAAAGUUGUGGCCAUAGAAAACUGAUGUCAUUAGUGAAUGUGGAGUGUCCGUAACCAUACUAAGUACUAAGAUGUGUUGAUCCGUACCAUCUGCAGUUAUAAAAAUGACGACCAACUAGCAUCUUAUUUUCUUUAAAUUGAUGGGUAACUUAUUUGUCUGUAUCAGAGGGGCCAUUAGACCCAAAAUUUGGUGUUUAACUUAAUUAACCCAAAAUAGAAGUGCGGAAGCUCUAGUAAAUUAAGUCAAUCAAAAUGUGCCACGAUAUGAGGCCAUAAAACCAUUAAACAAUACAACAUCAAUUAAUGAAUUCUUAUUCUCUGUAUUCCGUACUUCUCUAUUUUUUUUUUUCGAUUCUGUAUUUGCAAAAGUGAAGUAGCUUGAGCACAGACAACGAGAAUGUGUAGUUCUCUUCUCAAUAGUAACGACUUAAAAAAGUUCACUGACUAAAUUUAAUGGAUCGUUACUUCCAACAUUGAUAUCAAAUCCUACUUAAGUAUCCGUAGUGUACAAGACGCUUUUGAUUUAAAUAGAUAAUCCUUUUUAGGUUUCCAAGUCUUUGGCCAUCGUUUCACAUUAUUUUUUUCGAGUAAUCUAUCUAAUCCCAACACGCUCCUAGUUUCAAGAUUUGGAAUUAUUCGAGAAAGAAUACAAGAAACUGUUUUUUCUUUUCCUCCUUCAAAAUUUGUCACAUAGCGUCAGAAUAUAAUUACUCGAUCAUUUCGACAUCUUUAAUAACCGUUGAUUAAUUAUUUAGAUUACUAUAUGAAUCUCUACCAGAGAUUCAGCUCAGAGAUCUAAGCCUACUGCUCUGCAGAGACCACAGAGUAAACAAAUAUCACAUGUAUAUAAUAGUAAAAUUAUAGAAUAAAGUUUCAUUAGUGCUUAUAGCCUUAUUAUACGAUAGAUGUGCGUACACAAUCUAUACAAUAAUGAUUUUUCUAUGUAUAUCGAGUGAUUGUUAUUAAGCUCAAUAUCAAUUAUAAGGAUGGACGAAGAGUGGACAUUAUUGUUUUUGUGAUAUUUCGUUUUUUUUAGCUAUGUCAGUACUUAUAUUUUGCUGUAGAGGUACUAUCCGUAAAAAUUCGGAUAUUUGAUCAUAUGUCUGACUCGCUGCGUUAUAACAAAAAACAUAACGCAGUAAUGACAUUAGUAUUUAGUACCAACCAUUAGGCUAUAUACUCCUACCCAGAUAUUUAUCUUAUACUUUUGUGUUAACAUAGGAAUGAUUCGGAAUAAAUUCAAAUAAUAGAAAUGGCAAAAGGGCAUUUCAGUCAAUUUUCUGAUCGGUAUACGUAUGGUCAAGCCCGCUUUGUUGUUACGUGAAGUGUUGGCUCCUAUAUAACCUCGUCUUCUCCAACUUGUUCUUCCCCAUAAAUCUGAUUAUCAAUAUAAAAAAAAAAAAACCUAAAGUAAAGAGAAAGAAGAGAGAGAGAUGGGAAACAGCUUAAGGUGUUGUAUUGCUUGUGUUCUUCCAUGUGGAGCACUAGAUUUAAUCAGGAUCGUUCAUCUAAACGGCUACGUUGAGGAGAUCACACGGUCAAUAACCGCAGGAGAGAUCCUACAAGCAAACCCAAACCAUGUCCUAAGCAAACCAUGUUCUCAAGGUGUUGUCCGUAAAAUCUUGAUCUUGUCCCCUGAAUCUGAGCUCAAGCGAGGAAGCAUCUAUUUUCUCAUCCCUGAUUCUUCCUUGCCGGAGAAGAAAAGGAGAAGAAAAGACGGUUAUCGCCGGAAAAAUACUCUCAACAACAACCCUAGCGCCAACGUCGGAGUGGUUAAAGGUGAUGAUCAAAGUGUGAAGUUGUGUGAGAAGUACUUAGAAGAAGUUGUGUCGUCGACGUCGACUGGUAAAGAACACCGUCAUCGCCGGCGACACAGCAGAUCGGCGUCAGUAUCCACGUGGCGGCCUCACCUUGACAGUAUCUAUGAGGAUCUUAAUUAAUUCUUCUUCUCUUUGCCUCUUUUUGUUUCUUCUAGCUAAUGGUAUUUUUUUGUCCGGAAGCCGGAUUUCUAUUUCCCAGAUAUAUCAUUUCCUUUUUUUCUCUCUUUUUUUUUUGGGAAAAAUUCACGAAAAGAAUAUAAAAUGUGGAUAAGUUUUGUGUUAAAAUGCUGUUGUAAUUUCCAGUCACUGAGAAUGAUAACAUUUCAACCAUAAUCAUUGAUCAAAAACGAAACAUAUAUGGCCAAAAAAUUAUGAUAGAUUUCUAGUAGAAAUUAUUGACGUGUAAGGGUAAAGAAGACGACAAUUUAAUGGAAAUAAAAUGGAACUGAAUCAAAGAACCAGCCUUGUCGCAGUUAAGAUUUAAUGAUUUCUUCUUUAUAUCAAUGAAAAGAUUGAUGAGUUUUGUAGUUUAUUGGUUUAUUAUUGUAUUACUUAUAAUAUCUUUCACUAUUUAGACAUAAACUUGGUAGUGUAAUCGCCUAAUCGAAUUGUAGAUGGGAAAAAGCAUCAAUGAAAUGAUUAAUGAUUAUGAUCAUAAAAUGUGUGUUUAACGGAAAUGUCACUUUGAAUGAUUAGACUUAAUAUUAUAAGUUCGGUAGUUAUAAAAUACUAAUUAAUAAUAAUAGUUAGUGCGCAGGUUUUCACAUGCAGGUGGACCAAUCGAAAAGUCAUUGAAACUGAAAUAAUACCAUCAGUUCCAAAUAAUAUAAACAUUCAGACAUAUAAAAUUAUUUGUAAUGUAAACCAUACGGUCCAUCCGUCCAUACAUCGAAAAGAAAGCGUGGCAAUGAUUAUACAUUAGAAAAAAAAAAGAGAGCAAAUGAACAAAUUUAUCUUCUCAUGUACCAUGAAUUCUAUCAUGUAUUGAAUAAAAUGAAGCUGAUCAAAAUUUUGAGUGGUUCGACGAUUGAAAGGCACUGUUGAAAAGUAAUAUGGGUUGAUAUAUAUAUAUAUAUAUAUAUAUGUUUGGAAUGACUCGUUUACAGUAGCCAGAUACAACAGGGCACAGGCUUUAUACAUAAAAUUGCAACAAAAAAUUCAUACAAAAUAUGUAUAUUAAUAAUUUGAAUAUAAUGAAGUUUAAAAUAUGGUUAUUGGAACAAAAAAGUUGGAGUUGGCUACAACUACAAGUUAAGAUAUCUAUUGAAAAAUUACAACAAAACAUCAGACUAAAAAGACGAAAUUAUUCUUCUUCUUAUUAAUUAAAACAUUUAAAGAGAAACGACCAGAAAAAAAAAAGAGAAAUGAAAGCUGGCAAGCCCAUCUGAAUCAGCUGCAUUCACAUGGCUUCCCUCUUCUAUGCCCCAUCUCUAUUAGACUUUCAUAUUUUUCUCUUUCUUAUUCUUCUAUUUUACUACUAUCUAUGGUCUACGAUUUACUAUUAAUGUAUAAUGUGCAGCAACUAUGUACAUAUACAUUACUACGCUUGGUCCAAACAGCCCAUCUUCUCCAUACGCUUCAGCCAUUAAUGCUUCCAAUUUUACGUACACAAAUUUUUAUAUUCAGAUUUUUGUACUGAUUUCGAUACGGUUAACUAAUGUGAAUAAAUUUUUUUCCCAUUUCCAAAAUAAACACCAUUGUAAAUUUGUAAACAUAAUAUACAUGACAAGUAGGAGUCAUGAGGAAACGUAAACAUAAUAUUUCCCAUUUCCAAAAAUAUUUCCCAUCUGUAAAUACAAAGACAAAGAGUAGGAGUCAUGAGGAAACGUAAUAUACAUGACACGUCCGUCUGUUUAUGUCCACAUACCAACUCUGAGAACCCCAUCUGCGAAUAAAACGAUCCGAUCCCACUUUCAUUAUCUCCAAAUAGUAUGAAUUGUAGAAAUAUCUUCGUCUAACAAUUCCAAAUGAAAGAAAUUAACUGAUCGUAUUCAUAAAAAACUGAGUUCUACUACAUCGAGUUGCUUUACUUAACAGCCUGUAGUUUAUAAUAACAAACACUAAAAACUACACCUUUUAUUUAACUUUUUAAAACAAAUGAAAAAAAUAGUAGUAAAAAAAAAAAAAGACUAAUUAAUCAACGGGUGUUAUGAAGAUCAACAGAGGUAAACCCUUCUUCAACAGAGAAACGUGGGUGUACUCUGGUAUCCCCAGUCCUAGGAGGAGGCGAAACUGGCAAUUUAUAGCUAUUGUCCAUCGCAAGAGACUCUCCUUCUUGCUGGUGAACCACAAGCACCGAGAAAUGAAAAUCCGUCGACGCAAACAUGUCUCCGACCACACCUAGCUCAGGACACUCGCUCCAGUCCGUCAGUCCGUACAGCACGGAAGACUCAAGGUCAUGGUCACGACCCACAACCACCAUAUCGUACGAAUCCCCAAGUGCACUAAUCACUUGCGUGGUCUCCACGCCAUCUCUCACGAUCUCUUCUCUGUAAUUCACUUUAGGCUUGUUCAGCGAGAAGCUCUUGAAAUCGUUUAUAAGGUGAGACUCAGAGAAUUCGUUUUCUUCUUCUACUACGCUGUGUAUGGAGCUCUUGUGCCGGAAAUGGAUCAUUGUUACGUUCACUUCCGGGUGCUCGGCGAUUCUCAUACAGAACGCGAGCGCUUCCGCGUCAUCUCGGCCUCCGAUGAAGAUCACGGCGAUGUUCCUCCACGUGUGGCUCAUGAGCACCGAGCGUCGGCCUUCUGUUUCUCCACGGUCGAUGAAUAUCCCAACCGAGCAAGGUGCCUUGUCAAGCACGUUUAGGUUUAUGCUACGGAUCGCAGAGUUCACGCGGUCGACGUUUCCGUCUAUGGCGUACUGUUUGUGGAACGGGAUGACGAUGAGCGUCGCUUUCUUGUCGAGGGCGAGAGUGCAAAUGUCGUCGUUGAUGCUGGAGAAUGGAGCUGCAGCUGUGAAAUGCUGAGCCAUUAGGGUUCCUUGGUGCUGUUGCUCGAAGCGUUGGAAACCGUUGACGAUGUGCGUGGAUUGUGUCGUGUUGGGAUCGAGUUUGUUCAUCUGGUGAUGCGGCAUGAGCACCGCGUGCGCUCGGCCUUUGAGCUCGACGAGGUGCAGCGUGAAGACUGAGAUCGGGCUGAACCUACUUGGGUAAGAAGCUUCUAGGAGGUUAACCAUGGAAGGUACGUUUUCGACGUUGUAAACACAGAGGAGGAGGCGGAACUGAAGGUUUCGCUGUCUCGUGUUGAGUAUCGUUCUCUUGCUCUUGCUUCUGUAGCGUUUCGACGGGUCGUAGAGGCACACGACGAGGAAUCUCGAAAUCCCCGUCACGAGCAAGAGCGUGAUGAUAACAAGAUUGAAGCACUCUGUGUUUAGAACCUGCAAACAAUAAAAUCUGAUGAAAAUUUUUGGAGAAAAAAUGUGGAUUAUAAUAGAUUACGUACGAACCAAGCAAACACUAUUAAAUACCUUCUCGUCUUUCCACAUGACGGAGGUGUAGAUCUCGAUGAUGCCUUGGCAACACAUCAAGAAGGCCAAAGAAAGAGCGUCUCCGAUCUGUAUGUUGCAAUACGCGGAAGCGGCUGCAGUUCCGAGGAACUUGCAGGUAUAGGUGAUGAGGAUCACGGCCUCAAUGAUCUUCACGUGGCUCUCUCCAAUCACGAAGAAAUUGGUCUGCAACCCACUAAUGGCGAUGAAACAAGGAAGCAUAAGGCUCGACGCAAACAUCUCGAGCUUGGUCGUGAGCCCUGUCCCAAGCGGAGGUCCGUCAGGGAGCGAUACUCCGAGCCAGAACGCUCCGAAAGCCGCGUGGACGCCAAGCACUUCGGACAUCAAGCUUACACUCAACAAGAUCAUUACGAUCGGGAAGAAUGGGAUCUCGCCUGCUUUAUCGAUCGAAACACUUCUUCUUUCAGUCAACCAGAUGAUCAUCGGUCUGCAGAUGAAAACAAUCAUGACGAGAAGACCCGUGACCCAACCAAAAGACCACAUGCUAGAGAGUGUCCCGUCUCGCAAGAACAUUCUGAAAACGAGGGCCACCACCCAGCUAAAGGCCUCGCAGACUAUGGAGCAGUUUGUGGCUAACCGUCCGAGAUCAGAGUUAAGGAUGUUGAGCUCGGCUAAAACGGUCGUGGUGACCGGGAAAGAAGUCAUUGCGCUGAGGGAGAUCACUGUGCUGAUGCAGUGGACAACCUCCGGUGGGAGCUUGUAAGUGUUUUUCAAGAAGAGGACGGUGAGGUUACCGAGGGCGAAUGGGACGGCGUAGGAGGCUGUACCGAUGACUAUGGCUUUGGAACCGGCUUUACGGAGAAUGCUAGCGUCGAUUCUUAGCCCGAGUAAGAAGAGAUGGAUGAAGAAACCCACGUUUGACACCGUUUGUAAAGUGAUUUUUCCGCUCAAGGGCAUGAACAUAUCCAUGUAUCCGCUGCUUUGGCCAAAGAGAGAAGGUCCUAGGAUUAUACCAGCCUGCGUAUAAACAUUUUGCAGAAUUCAUUAAAAAAGAGAGAAAAUGUACAUAACUCCACAGGUUGUAGAUAUAUAUAAUGUGAGUUAUUACCAAGACUUGGGCAGAGAUCAUGCCUUGCUUCAAGGGCUUGAGGAGGUAGAAGAGAAGCCUUGAGGUGAUGAUGAUGGCGGACAUUUGCAGCAAUAGAAGUGGCAUAGCAUAUUUGAAAGGGUCACUGCCCAAGAAAACACCCUUCGAGGUUAGCAUGUGGUUGGUCUGGCACACGAUGCUUUCCAGGAAAAACGGUCCAUGAACUUUUCCCAUCUGCAUCGAGUUCGCUUCGUCCAGGUUUAGCUUUGACAUCGCUAUGAUCCUUCGUGCGAGCCAAAGAUGAGUGUGAAGAACGUGGAGGAAGGAGAUUGCAGAAACUACUGUAUGUGGGCAGAAGAAGCUAAGAAUCUCUUAGUGAGAUGGAUAACAAAACAGAGAAACUCUGUUUUAUUGUAAGAGAAAUGUUGAUUAUCUUGCUAUAAUCAAUCCAAUGUAGAUUGCUUUCUAGGUUAUGUCAAUAGAUCAAAGACAAAAGGAAAGUGUCAGAGAGAGAUAGAGAGAGAGAGAGAGAGAGAUGAAGCCAAGCCAUAAUUGUUGCCUCUAUUUAUUGAUUCCGACUAUUUUUAGGUUGGUUGAUGUUCAUAACCAGUAAUGUCUCCAUUCUAAACUCGUGGUUUUAAAUUAUCGUGAAGUCCUAAUAAUAAAAAACCUUUUCAAAAUGUGAUUUUCGCAAUUAGUCCGCAUAGCCACUGUUCUCAAAGAAGAGACAAAAAUCUGGUUUUCACUUCUUGGCGAAAGAGACUACCAUUGGAUUCUGUGGAGUGAUUUUCAAACCUUGAAGAGCCUGAAUGGCCAUAGAAGAUUGAACAUCGUUUUCGUGCUCCACAAACGCAAUUCCUGGUUUUGCUUGUAUCAUUCUUAUCUCCUUGAAUCCUGGGCAUUGUUCAAAGAUCAGCUGAAGCAUCAUGCUAGUCAUCUCAACGGGAAGAUUAUGAAUGAAGAGUAUGUUGUUUGAUGGCAUCGUGUCUUGCCCGCUCGGCUGGAAAGAAGGCUGCAAAUUUGCAGAGAGGUUAUGCAGUUCUGUUAACAUCAGAUGAAAAUUAAAAAAGACAGACGAAAACGAGCUGACAAGUUCUGAAUUUGUGAUAGAAACGAAAGUUCAAACCUUUCUCUUCUUGCUUCAUCUUCUCUCUUUAGGAACAAAAGUCUCCUCGGCUUUAGAGACACAAUCUGACUUUGAUUUCGCAUAUUGUAUUAGCUGUGCCCAAAACAACACCCUUUACUCUUAGACACACAAUAGCAGCCAAAUAGCUUAAGGUCUUGAACUGAAUUGAAUUCAAUAUUCUACAUAUGCCAUGAGCCAAGAAUAAUUUUCUCCUGAACAAUGAAUUAGGAAACUUGGCCUUCGUGGCAAUAGCAGUCGCUGUUUUCUACUUAACUACUUAAACAAAGCACAAAAAGUUCCGGUCUUUUAAAAAUUCAAUAGAAAACUUAUAAUCCCUAACUAGUGAGAAAGAAUACUCCAAUGCAAAAUCACCGACGCAAGUAUAUACAUGUUACAAUAUAUUGGGAGUUUCGUGGUUUCUGGAGGAAUCAGAGAGAUGGAAACAGAAGACUGAAAAACAUUACCUUCUUUCUUAAUCUUCUCAUUGAUAUUUUUAAUAUAGAUUGACUGAUUCGGCGGUAUAUUGAGCCAAAAAGACACAGCGGAGGAGAACCGUCGCGUUACACGCCGUCUAAUUUUGUUUUAUUUAUUUUAACUUCUUACCGUUUAGCGUAGAGUAAAACAGCACGAAGUCUUUCGAUACAUUAUUAAAAACGUUACGACGUUCGAAGAGGCAUUGAAGAUAUAUCCCUUUCCCCAUUUUUCCACCGUGUUUCUAUCCUCUUUCCUUCCUUCUUCUGUUCCGUUAAACCCUACGCUACGAGCUUCUCUCUUCCACUGCUCAGGAUCUUUCACAGUAGAGGGAGCCAUGAAUCCCUCGCUUAUCACCUCCAUUAACGCUCCAAUCUCACCUUCCACUCGGUCUCCUUUACUCUGUCACUUCCUGACUCCGUUGCCUCUCCGUUUCUCGAAGAAUCGUCGUUAUCGAGUUUCAUUCCCUCGUUGCGCAGCUACUUCCUCCGACCUACCGUUGGUGUCUGAGCAGGCGAAGAAACCCGAUGUUUACGGGAAUAAGAAGGAGCUCACCGGAUUGCAAUCGAUUGUUGAGAAGAUGACACCGCCGGUGAGGCUAGCGACUUCUGCUGUUGUUCUAGCGGCUUCGCUAGCUGCUGGUUACGGACUAGGGCUCCGGUUUUCCGGCUCCAGGAAUAUUGCUCUGGGUGGGGCUGCUGUUGCUGGAGCCGCCGGUGGAGGUCUUGUCUAUGCGCUGAACUCUGCCGUACCGGAGGUGGCUGCCACCAGUUUGCACAAUUUUGUUGCUGAAUUUGAAGAUCCUGCCUCUGUGACGAAAGAGGACAUCGAAAGGAUCGCUGAUAGGUUAGUGGUUGCUUGAAUUUGGAGCUCCUGCCUCUCUGACGAAAGAAUAUACAGAAAGGACCCAAGUUGCUGGGAUUUACACAUAAAUUUUACUAAAUGAUCCUUUUAUAUGUUUCAGGUAUGGUGUCAACAAAGGAGACGAGGCAUUUCUGGCUGAGAUUUGUGAUAUAUAUUGCCGGUGAGUCAAGUUAGAAACCUGAUAAACUCGGGACAUUGUUUGCCUCCUUUCUCUUAGUGUGGAGAAUUCUUGAGUUAAUCUCUACAUCUUAAUCUUGGUUAGGUACGUAACUUCCGUGCUUCCAACUGAAGGACAGUCUCUUAAAGGGGAUGAAGUGGAGAAGAUAGUCAAAUUCAAAAAUGCUCUGGGAAUAGACGACCCUGAUGCAGCCUCCAUGCACAUGGAGGUGUUUUCUAGAUUCUUCUUCUUCGUUUGAAUUAGCACCUAGCCUUUUGCAGUUGGUUCAGAAGGAUCUUAAAAUGUAGAUCACCAAUUCCUUGUUUUUUUUUUUUAGAUUGGACGGAGGAUUUUUAGGCAAAGGCUUGAGACUGGGGAGCGUGAAGGUGAUGCAGAACAGCGUAGGGUGAGUCGCUAGUUCCCAGUAUUCGUUAUUUUCACUGUAGAUUGGUUUAGAAAGAGAGCACAAGUGUGAUCACAAGUUGUAUGCUCCCAGUGCAGGCAUUUAUGAGGCUUGUAUAUGUUUCAGCUCUUGUGUUUGGAGACGCUGCAUCCUUCCUUUUGCCUUGGAAGCGAGUAUUGAAGGUUACAGAUGCUCAGGUAGGCAUUUCCAAUUUUGUCAAACCUAUAAUUUUGCGCAGUAUUUGUUUUUUGGCAGGCUGCAUUAUUAGCAAGCUCGGUACUCUGAGGUUCUCUGCUAAUUUUUCAACCCCUUGUGUAUAGGUUGAGAUUGCUAUUCGUGAAAAUGCAAAGCAGCUGUAUGCCGAGAGGUUAAAAUCAGUUGGUAGAGGUAAUGUUGUUCAUGUUUUUCAUUCUAAGAUUGGAAGUAAUGUUACACUUGUAGAAUGGAGGAAGUUGCUUGAAUUGAUUAUAUUUACUAGUGUGUCACUUCUUGUCAAUAAAUGAUACAAUGGAUGCUUCUCAUUUGACGUCGGCUUAAUACAGGGAAACUUAAAUGGUUAUGUUUGUUAACAUGUUCUUGCAGAUAUUAACGUAGAAAAUCUUGUGGACCUUAGAAAAGCACAACUAUCGUUCAAGCUUUCUGAUGAGGUACUCUAUUUUUUUGUGGCAUUGAAUUUCUGCUUCCUCUGAAUAUAGUUCUCCUGACGGUUUCUUCUCCCUUGCAGCUUGCUGAAGACCUAUUUAGAGAACAUACAAGAGCAGUAGCCGUAGAGAAUAUUUCAUCAGCACUUGGUGUAUUAAAAUCCCGCACACGAGCAGUGUAAGGCAUUGUACUAUAUUUACAGAAUCCUGCAUAGAGAAAUCAUAUGAAAAAUGUAUAUUUCAUGUGAACAUUGACUUUGGUAACUUGAGUUUUGGUUUUUCUAAAAACUGAUUGGUGAUAUUUCCGUCUUUUGCUUUUGUGAACUAUACUUAUUAUAUGAAUUUUUAUAUGCGAAUUCAGGUUAAACAGUUAGUUUAUAUUGGAAUGCAAGUUAAGACAUGAGAUCUGAAUGUUAUAGGCGUUUUUGUAUCCCUCUGAUAAUGAACAGUGAAACAAAUUGGAUCAUCUUAUUUAUAUUAGUUUACAAUGCAUGUCAUUAAGUGACCUGAUUUUAUCCAGGAAGAGUAUGGCACUUGUUGUGGAAGAGCUUGAAAAAGUACUGGAUUUUAACAACCUGCUGGUUUCCUUGAAAAGUCAUUCAGAGGCAGAUCAAUUUGCACGGGGUGUUGGCCCUAUUUCUUUGAUAGGUGAAGAUGCUUUUUAUGGUCUCUUUUUUGAGUAACAAUUAUAGGUUCUUACCUUAGAUCUCUGUGGCUUAGGCGGUGAGUCUGAUUUCGAGAGGAGGAUGGAUGAUUUGAAGCUCCUUUAUAGAGCAUAUGUUACAGAUGCUUUAUCGGGAGGGCGCAUUGAAGAAAAUAAGGUAAACUCAAACCAUUUUUCUAUGAGUUUUUAUAUAGUACAGUGAGUACGUUAUAGAGCAUUUGUUCAGAUGCUGUUUUCUUUUAUCUUUUUCCCAUGCAAUGUCAUUUCUGCUGAAUGGUAGCUUGUGGCAAUGAGCCAACUGAGAAACAUACUUGGACUGGGAACACGGGAGGCUGAAGCUAUUAGUGUUGACGUUACGUCCAAGGCAUACCGUAAGAGACUUUCUAGCGCUGUUUCUACGGGUGACCUUGAAGCACAAGACAGUAAAGCCAAAUAUCUUCAAAAGCUAUGCGAAGAGCUGCACUUUGAUGCACAGAAGGCAAGCGCAAUCCAUGAAGGUAUAUGCGGACCUCUGUUCACACACGAAACCUAAUGCUGUUAUUUUAUACCCUGAGUGAUACUGUUUGAAUUUGCACUUUAUCUCCCAUGAAAAAGCCAGAUUCUUAUCAAUUUAGUUGAUGGCUUGUGAACCUGCUGGUUCCUUACUUUGCAAACUAGCUAUUAAUGUUUUGUAUUUGUUCUUAACAGAAAUCUACAGGCAGAAGCUUCAGCAGUGUGUUGCUGGUGGAGAGCUGAGCGAGGUCAGCGUUGCUUCUUUAUUACGGUUAAGAGUCAUGCUGUGUAUUCCUCAGCAAACUAUUGAGGCAGCUCAUGCAGAAAUCUGUGGAAGCAUAUUUGAAAAGGUAAUCCAGCUAAUCAGUCCCCUUGUCACUUUAUCCCUUUUUUUUAGUUCUCAUGGUCUUUGGUCUUCGCUUGCAUACAGAAACUUACUCGUUACACUUUUCCAGGUCGUCAGAGAUGCAAUUUCUUCUGGAGUGGAUGGUUAUGAUGCCGAAACUCGUAAAUCAGUAAGAAAGGCUGCGCAUGGUCUUCGGUUAUCCAGAGAGACUGCCAUGUCUAUUGCUAGCAAGGCUGUGAGUGAUACACUCUCUACUUUUCCCAUGUUUGGUGUUAGAAUUUGGUUUCUCUGACUCUACAUAGCAUCACAUGAAAAACAUAAACCUUCAUUGAUGCAGGUCCGAAGGGUUUUCACAAACUAUAUCAGACGAGCAAGAGCGGCAGAGAACCGCACUGAGUCAGCAAAGGAGCUCAAGAAGAUGAUUGCUUUCAACACGUUAGUUGUGACUGAAAUGGUGGCUGACAUUAAGGGAGAAUCUUCUGAUAAGGCAUCUGAGGAGCCUGUUCAAGAGAAAGAAGAAGCUGGUGAAGAUGAGGAAUGGGGAUCUCUUGAAUCGCUCAGAAAGACAAGACCCGACAAGGAACUCGCUGAGAAGAUGGGAAAGCCCGGCCAGACUGAGAUAACUCUCAAAGAUGACCUUCCUGACAGGGACAGGAUCGAUCUCUACAAAACCUAUUUGCUCUACUGUCUAACCGGAGAGGUAACAAGAAUCCCGUUUGGCGCCCAGAUCACGACAAAGAGAGACGAUUCAGAGUACUUGCUUCUGAAUCAACUUGGUGGGAUUCUCGGAUUGACUUCGAAAGAAAUAGUCAACAUUCACGUAGGUUUAGCCGAGCAGGCCUUCAGGCAACAAGCUGAAGUGAUAUUAGCUGAUGGGCAAUUGACAAAGGCUAGAGUAGAGCAGUUAGACGAGUUGCAGAAACAAGUUGGGUUGCCUCAGCCACAGGCCGAGAAGGUUAUAAAGAAUAUAACAACUACAAAAAUGGCAAACGCCAUAGAAACUGCUGUUAACCAAGGAAGACUGAAUAUAAAGCAGAUACGGGAGCUCAAGGAGGCAAACGUGAGUCUGGACAGCAUGAUUGCUGUGAGUCUGAGAGAGAAACUAUUUAAGAAGACAGUGAAUGACAUAUUCUCAUCAGGAACUGGUGAAUUCGAUGAAACCGA
rnacentral:lncRNA from 1 species